rnacentral:lncRNA from 1 species
AGAGCGCCGUCGACCCCACGCCACGCAGAGGUGAAGAUACGCAGGACGUCCUCUAAAGCAACUUCCGUGGGUGCCAGGUUGUGGGCUGGGGGCGGUGCUGACCUUGAGAGAGCGGAGGAGGCGCAGGCGCAGCACAGGUGGCAAUUGAAGCCGGAAGAACAUCUACCAAGAGCAGAGAACCCAGGAAGAAAAUUCUGCCUCUUUAAUACGUUCCAAUAUGGACGUUUUCCAUAUAGAUACCUAUCUAUAUAGAUAGAUGCUCUGGGAUCUGACGGUCCUGGACACCUGUAUGGCUGUGUGCUGUGGUCUUUGCCUAGCCUGCGGUUCACUUUUGCUCUGGCCACCACCUCCCCUCAUGUACAAACCGCGUCUCUGCUCUGCCAGUCUUGGCCCCCGUCAGGCAGCGGUUCACUCCCUCACCAGGGAAGUCUAGAUAGAUAGAUAUAGAUAGAUAUCGAUCGAUAGAUAUAGAUAUAUAUAUAGAUAGAUAGAUAGGUAGAUAUAUGGAUAGAUAUAGAUAUUUGGAUAGAUAUGUAGACGUCUAUCUAUAAAUAUAUCGAUAUAUCGGGGUUCUCAGCCAUCCCAAAGAAGCUUGCACAGGGCCAGUUGCUUUAUGUCAGGAAAAGGGACACAGACUGAGUGUAUGAGGGUUUUUUUUUUCUAUAGAUGUAUAGAUAUUUAUAUCAGAUGCAAAUAAGUGAAACUCUCAUACAACUUUUAAUUUUGUGUUUUUUCCAAACUCUAUUCCAUUCAACUUUUUCUGCCUUUUUAUUUGAUUAUAAUGAGACAUCGUACUGGAGGCAGGCUUGAAAUGGAUAUACAGAGCACUUUCAACCCAGAAAUUUGUCUCACGACUUGGGGUCCUUACUUAAGUUGUAGCUGUUAGUAAUUUCAUCCAUGAAUUCACUUUGUGCCAUAGUGUGAUGUUUUGUUAUGAAGUUGGAAUUGGGAAGGGAAACUAGGAAGUUUUGGGAGAAGUUAAGAAGGUUGAGUAGGCAGGCGUUGUUAUAGAUAUUAAAUUUCACCCUGCUUAUCAAAGUACCUGGAGCGUAUGGUAUCCAAGCUGUAAAUGGCCCAAAGGAAUCGGGGUUCUCAGCCAUCCAAAAGAAGCAUGCACAGGGCCAGUUAUUUUAUGUCAGGAAAGGGGACACAGACUGAGUGUAUGAGGGUUUUUUUUUUUGUUUUUUUUUUUUAGUUUAAACUUGAUUUUGUGAGGGGACGAACAGCGUGACAAUUAAAAGAAGAUCUGGGAAUCGUAAGUACUGACAGAAUACCUGGAGGGAAGGUGGGACUGGAGAAUAGUUUGUGAAACAGAUCCUGCUGAGGAUGAAUCCAGAACUUCCUGAAGGGUUCCGCUUCUGCUGUGUAGGGACAAGGUUGUAAAUAGACAAGCCACAGGCACCUGCAAAUGGUAAGUGUGGUAGAGAGGGGCUGGAAUUGCCUGUUGGUGUAUCUGUGGGAAGCAGCUGCUAUCCUUGAGGAAGAAAAGAUGGAGAAGGUAAGUGGCUAUCAACCUGUCAGAGACAACACAUUCUGUGAAGUUGUACUCUUUCAUUUCUGACACUGUGGUUCUUAAUAUCUGUCCUAAACCUGGCAGUCAUUGAGGUUCGCAAAGUAUCUCCUUCUAUGUGACAGUAAAACUGGAAUUACUAUCAGAAUGGAAUCCAUUCCUGCUAGAGUAAAACCAUGAAAAGAAAUCGCAGUUUUGAUUAUCUGCUUAUCAUUUUUAAUAGAUCACAGAGUGCAGUGUUCCUUAUUUGUUGUAUGGCAAGUUGAUGAAUAACUCUUGAUUAAUAUCUUUUAAUGUUCUGUUUCACACAGUUCUCUCAAUUACAUGUGAAAAAUCUGUUAUAUAAGUAAUGCUAUUUAAUGAUUAAAAUGGAUAUAUGUUUUAAGGUAGUGCCACCCAGUCUUUUUUUUUUGGUAGAAUAAUAUUAUUAUCUAUUGGUUGCCUGCCUUGAAGUACAGUAAUUUCUCUGUUUCCAUUAUUUAAAAUAGGUGAGUGUCUUUGACAAAGAUACAAAGAAAGGGGACAGUUAUGAAAGGGAAGAAAAGAUAGAUGGAGAUGAAAAGAAAUUCAGUAGUUUCAGCAAGGGAAUUAGGAGCAUAAUCUUUGAGAAAAGUCUUGGUUGCUUACCAUUCGGGCUUUGUGAUGAGUUGAAAUGUCCUGAAUGAGAACUGUUCUCAAAUGCUUUCAAGACCAACAAAAAGUACGAUACCCACACUGACCUGGAACUCUUUAAACCAUUAAGAUAUAUCACUUUUUCGCAGUUCAGUCCAUAUUUUUUGCAAAAUGUUCUGCUUAGUUUUUCUGCUAAGAAAUUACUGUUUCUGAACAAGGUUAAGUGUCGUAUGCUUUCAUUGUAGUUUUUUUUCCCCUAACAUAUACUGUUUUCCUAAUUAGACUAUAAAUUCCUCCACAGCUGGGACCUUGUUUUGUUUUCUCGCCUUCCCCAUAACAAAUAUCAUUUAAGUGAAUGUUGUAAACAGUUACUUCAUUUAAAUUGCCCUUAAAAUGCUUUAUGACAAAGACGUUAUUUGUAGUAAUACCUAUAAUGGUAAAAAGUUUGUUGCAGUCUUACAGACGAUAAGAUUGAUCAAUUGUUAUAUAUGCUUAGUGGAAUUUUAUCUAGCUGUUCUAAAGAGCCAUUAGACUAGUCUUUCUAAUGGAAAAUGUUUAUUGUCUAAGUUAAAACAGCAUUUGAGGCCAGGCACAGUGGCUCACUCCUGUUAUUGCAGCACUAUGGGAGGCUGAGGUGGGAGGAUCACUAGAGCACAAGAGUUGGAGACUAGCCUAGGCAAUAUAGUGAGACCUCUUCUCUACAAAAAAUUUAAAAAUUAGCUGAGUGUGAUGGGGUGUGCCCGUAGUUCCAGCUACUCAGGAGACUGAGGUGGGAGGAUCACUUGGGUCCAAGAGGUAGAUGUUGCAGUAAACCAAGAUCAUGCCACUGCACUGCAGCCUGGGCAACAGAGCAAGAUCCUGUCUCAAAAAAUUAAAAAGCAUUUUAUAGACUGCAUGUUUGUGUCCCCCCUCCCUCCGCACCAGAAUUCAUAUAUUGAAGCCUUAAUCUCCAAUGACAUGAUAUUAGUAGGUGGGGCCUUUGGGGGGUGAUUAAAUAAUAAGGGUGAAGCCCUGCAUGGGAUUAGUGCCUUUACAACAAGAGACCCUAGACAGCUUGCUUCCACUCUUUCUUUGCUCUUCACCAUGUGAGGACACAGCAAGAAAACAGACAACUACAAAUCAGGAAGAGGGCCUAAUUUGUGCCAACCAUGCUGGCACUCUUCUCUAACUUCCCAGCCUCCAGAACUGUGAGAAAUAAAUUUCUGUUGUUUAAGUCACCCAGUUUAUGGUAGUUUGGUUAUAGUUGCCCAUAUUAAGACAGCAGGAUGCAAAAUUGUGGCCAGUAUGAUUGCUUUGACAUGAAACAAAUUUUAAGCACAAAUUGCAAAAAGUAACCAAAAUAUAUCAAUCCCCACUGCUGGCAUUAACACUCUAAAACAAACUUUGUAUAUUGGGGGAUUUUAUUUAUUUAUUUAUUUAUUUUUUUUGCUGACCAUAGUGACUCAUGCCUAUAAUCCCAGCACUUUGGGAGGCCGAGUUGGGCAGAUCACUUGAGGCCAGGAAUUCAAGACCAGCCUGGCCAACAUGGCAAAACCCCCUCUUUACAAAAAUAUAAAAAUUAACCAGGCAUGGUGGCACACCCCUGUAGCCCCACCUACUUGGGAGGCUGAGGUGGGAGGAUCGCUUGGGCCUGUGAAGCAGAGGUUGCGGAGAGCUGUGAUGGCACCACUGCACUCCAGCCUGUGUGACAGAGCGAGACUAUCUCAAGAAAAAAAAAAAAGGAUGAGGAUUUUUUUUGUUUUCAACAUGCUUUUUAACAUCCACUAUAUUACUCUCAUCUUUCUAGGCUGGAAAAAAAAAUGUUUUAAAUGUUAUUCUGAAGUAUAUUGCAACCUUUAACAAUUCAGUAGACUUCUGAAUUUUUAUUUUCAUGUAGCUUACCACAGUUGUAUCUAGGAAUAUAUCACAUAGCUGAUUAAUUGGUGAAAUAACCCUUGCAAUUUUACACAGGUUGUACAGUGCACAUUUUCAAGGACCACUCACAUACAUCCAUUUGAUAUUUUUUGGUAUCAAGAAAGUCUUUAAACAAUCAGUACCACCAAUAGCAGUAAAAAGACAAAACUGUCUGAAAGUACCUAUCUGUUUAAAACUUUAAUUAGCUUUAUCCAUCCAUUAAAUAGUUAUUGAAUAUAAAACUGUAUCAUUCACUCUUCUACACUCUGAGGAAAUAGUGGUAAAUAAAGCAGAUAUUGUCCCUACUAUCAGGAAAUUUACAUUUUAGUAGUAAUAAGCCAUAAAUUAACAAAAACAGAAGACAGUGGUAAGUACUAGGCAUGAAAUUCAAACAUGACUAUUUUAGAUUAGGUGAUUAAAGAAACUAAAAUACCAUUUAAGCUGCUGUGUAAAUGACAAGAGAAUCCAGCUUUGUAAAAAUUGGUGAACCCUUUGCUUGCAGAAGGGACAACUGCAAAAUCUAAGGCAUGAUCUAGCCUGGAAUAUUUCAGGAGCCAAAAGAAGGCCUGCAUGGUUAGAGAAUAGUGACUUAAGACGCAAAUACUGUAACUUUGGAGGGAUAGGAAAGGGCUAGAUCAUGUUACCUUUGAAAGACAGGAAAGAGUUUAGAUUUUAUUCUAUGUGCAAUGGAAAAAAAAAUGAGAGCAUUUUAAUCCAAAGAGUAAUAUAAGAUAAUAUAUUUUUAAAAUCCACUUUGGUAAUUUGUUAAUUGGCAUAAAGAGUCAGCUUUCAUGUAACAUAAUUACUAACAUACUUGGAUUUAAAUUUGUCAUUAUUCUUAUUUUAUUUGUCCCACCUCUUAUAUGUUCAUUUUGUCUUCUUUUGCCUUUUUGAUUUUUUUUUUUCUUAAUUAGGCCAUAGCACCUGAUAUUCCCAGGCAGACUCUCAUCCAAGUGCCAAUCAGCCCCAGCCCUGCUUAGCUUCCCAGAUCAGAUGAGAACAGGCAUAUUCAGGGUGGUAUGGCUAUAGACCUUUUAGAUUAUUUUUAAUUAUUCCAUUUUUUCUACCUCAUAAGCUUGACAGAUGUCUUUUAGUAUCUUUUUACUGUUCACCUCAGGUAUUAAAACAUGGAACCUUGGUUUAUCAUCUUUAAGAUAAUUUGGUAUUAUACUUCUUCCAGGACAAUGUAAGGACCUGCGAACACAUCAACUUCAUUUACUGCCACACCUCAUGUUAUAUACAUUGUAUAUUCUUAAUAUGUAUUUCCUAAAUUCUCAAGACAUUUUUUAUACAAUAUGAAUUUACAUUUCAUAUUGUAUAAAACAUUUACUUUUUCUAUUGUGUUUCGUGGUUCCUGGAAUCUGAGCUUCCAUCUAAGACCUUAUUUCUUCUUGAAGGACAUACUUUAAUAUUUCUUCGAAUAUCUACUGGUAACAAUUCAUUCAGAUUUUCUGUCCUGACACUGUCUUAUUUUACUUUCAUUUUCUAAGAACGUUUUUGCUGAAUUAGCAGCUAUUUUAUCAUUUUGAAGAUAUAUUUUAUUCCUUCUGGCUUCCAUUAUGUCCUCUAAGACAUAAUGUCCAUUUUGUUUUUUUCUCUUCAAAGGUAAUCUUUUUUUGGAUGGCUACUUUUAAGAGGUUUGUCUUAAGUUUGGUGUGCCCACAUGUGUUUUGUGUUUGUUUUUUUGUGUGUGUGGUUUUUUUCUGCUUCGAGAUUGAUAAUGUUUCUUGAAUCUGGCUGUGAUGUCCUUAGGCUGUUUGAGAAAAUUCUUAGCUCUGUUUGAUCAGACAUUGCUUCUGCUUUCACUCUCCUUUCUCCUCUUCUUUUGAUACUCCACUUACAUUUGUAUUUGACAAUUCACUUUGUCCCUUGUAUUUUCCAUUUAUUUUCUUGUCUGUUUCAUCCUGAAUAUUUCUUCUUAACUUUCAGUUCACUAUUUUCUCUUAGUAGUCUCGAAUUUGUUAAAUCUCUCUUGAAGCAUUUAUUUUAGUUAUAUUUUUGGUUAUCAGUUCAAACAUUUCUACUUGAUUCUGUUUUAUUGUUUCCAGUUGUUUAUCCAAUAUCUCAAUCUUUUAUUUCCUCAAACAUACUAAUCAUAAUUACUUUAAAACCUGUAUCUAAUAACUAUGGUGUCUGCUAUUAUCUGACACUUUUCUUGUUUCUUGCUGUUAUCACAUUGUCUUGCUUUUAUGUCCCUUAUUUUUAUGUUAUUUUGUAUUAUUUAUUUUAUAAACAUUAUAAAUAUAUAAAACUUGGCUUAGGUUAUGUUUUAAUUGAAUGUCAGAAUUGUUUUGAUUGAACUGUAUAUGAGGAAACUAUACUUUGAAGUCCAAUAUGAUGGUAUUUUCUAAAGAAAGAAUUUAUGUCUCCUGGCAAGACCUUUGGACACUAGUAAUCUAAGAUCUUCUUAAUCUGGUUAGUGAUAGAGACAAUUAGAAUAUAGGCAGGUCUAUUUCCUGUUCAUACUUUCACAAUGUAGACCUCUGAAGUCCCAACUCAAGCAUGCAGAGUUUACCAGAUCAGGCCCUAAACUUCAGUUUUUGUCUUUUUAAUUCUAUGGGUUAGAAACUCUGUUCAACUUUUCAGCCAUCACCUCAGGAAUCAGAAGAUACUCCAGAGGAAAAGCUAAUGUAAAUGCUGGAUUCAACAACUCUGUUUUUUCCUUCUGAAUAUUUCAUUGUCUCUAAUGCUGUCAGAUGUUUGUUUUAUAUUUUGUCCAAGCUGAGUGUGGUGGCUCACGUCUGUAAUUUCAGCACCUUGGGAGGCCAAGGCGGGACCAUCCCUUGAGGCCAGGAAUUUGAGACUAGCCUAGGCAACAUAACAAGACCUUUGUCUCUUGGAAAAAAAUAAAUAAAUAAAUAUUAUUAGAAGUGAAAAUGGGGAUGUUGUUACAAAUGCUGUGGAGAUUGAUGAGAAAUUAUGAACAACUUAAUAAUAAAUGGGAAAAUAUAAAUGAAGUAGGCAGUUCCAGAAAAUGUAACUUUUCAAAAGCCAUGUAAUGGAAAAUAUAAAUGGUGGGAUGUUGAUGUAAGAAAUCAUGAUGCCCAGAGACUUUUGCCAAACCUUCAAAGGACAGAUCAUUACAAUUUUACACAAACCAUUCCACAGUAUAUUCCACUUAUAUACUGUGGAAUUGGCCCUUACUGCCCUUAUCAAAUUUAACAUCAAGGUUACAGAAGCUUAAUAUUACUGCCCUGAUUUUAUUAGGGCAGUAAUGAUUUGAUAAGGGCAGUAAGAAUUACAGCCCUGUCAUAUUCGCAAAGACAAAAAUCCUAAAUAAAACAGACCUUAGAAAAUGUGUUUUUAAGAAAAGAUAAUAAAACAUGAUCAGGUUGAAUUUAACCCAGGAAUGUAUUUUAGUAUAUUAAGAGAUUAGAAAAACUAUCUGGCUAUCUGAACAGAUGCAGGAAAAGAAAACUAUUUGAAAAAAUUAACAGACAUAGAUAAACCUUUGGGCAAAUUAGAAUUGUGUAGAACUUCCUUGAGCCAAUAAAACCUACAACAACAAUAUUUUAAGAUGAAGUAUUUGAAGCAGUCCAUUAGAAUCAGGAACAAGUACUAUGUUGGAGAUCCUAGCCAGCAUUAUAAGGCAAGAAAAACAAAAGAUUAAAAAUUGUAAAUAAACAUAACUUAGUCUACAGAUAAAUUAUUGAAGAGCUUUGCAAGGAUUCUGAAUAUACUAUUGAUAUGGUUUGGAUCUGUGUCCCUACCCAAAUCUCAUGUUGAAUUGUAAUCCCCAAUGUUGGAGGUGAGGCCUGGUGGGAGAUUGGAUCACGGGAAUGGGUUUCUCAUUCGUGGUUUAGUACCAUCCUCUUGGUACUGUCCUUGAAAUAGUUCUUAGGAGAUCUGGUAAUUUAGAAUUGUGUGGUACCUCUCCCCUCUCUCUUGCUCUUGCUCCCCCUUUGCCUUCCACCAUGAUUGGAAGCUUCCUGAAGCUGCCUCAGAAGCAGAAGCCACUAUGCUUCCUGUACAGCUUGCAGAACCAUGAGCCAAUUAAACCCCUUUUCUUUAUAAAUUACUCAGUCUCCAGUAUUUAUAGCAAUGUGAAAACAGAUAAUAUGACUAUCAAUAUACAAAAGUGAAUUGCAUUUCUUUCCAGCAGAAAUGAACUGUUAGAAAAUGAUUUUUGUAACAUACCAUUUACUAUAUUCCUUUAAAAAUAUAAAUUAGGUAACUUAACAAAAGGUAUAGAAGACCUCUGUAGAAAAUUACAAAACUUUAUUGACAGGCAUUUAAAAAUGUCUAAUUUUAAAAUUGCCAUGUUCAAUGAUUAAAAGACUCGAGUUAAGAUGGCAGUUCUCCACUACACAAUGAAGGUAAUUGCAAUACAAAUCCCAAAUGAGUUUUUCAAGGAGCUUGACAAACUGAUUCUAAAGUCUGUAUGACAAAAAGCAGAAUUCAGGAUACUCCAGAAGCAGAUUUAAGAUAGAAUUGACUUGUAGAUAUUCGUAACAGCAAAAAAAUAAAAACAACUCAAAUAUCCAUCAAAAGAUAAAAUGUUUAUCCAUGAAAAGAUACUCAAAAAGUGACACCUUUAUAUAAUGGGAUAUAUUUGGCUGCAAAAAGGAAUGAACUGCUAAUACCUGCUAUAAUGUGGAUAAACCUUGAAAGCCUGCUGAAAUAAAGAAGCCAGUCACAAAGGACCACUUAUGAUUCCAUUUAAACAAAGUGUAUAAAGUAGAAAAUGUAUUGAGACAAUAGAUUGUGGUUGUUUAGGGCUUACAAAGUUUGGGGUGAUGGGGGCCCGAGGUAGUGACAGCUAAAGGGUGCAGUUUCUUUUUGAGGCAAUAAAGUUCUAAAAUGUAUAGUUGCACGUUUCUGUAGAUACACUAAAAUCAAUUCAGUUGUGCAUUUAAAUGAGUAAAUUGGUAUGUGAAUUGUACCUCAAUAAAUCUGUUAAAACCAUAGUAAUUAGGAUAUUGUAAUACUGGCUUAGAGAUGGAAAAAUUGAUUUAUAAGGAAUCCUGAUUGUAAGGAAUCUUGACUUAUGUCAGAGAUGGCAUUGCAUACCAGCAGGGAAAGCUAGAUCAUUUCAAUAGAUGACGCUGCAUAUUCAUAUGGGGGAAAAAUGAAAUUGGUCCUCCCUACCUAACACCAUACAGAAAAAGUAGUUUCAGAUGACUUUAAGAUGUAAGUGUGAAAGGAAAACAUAGUAAACCUUCAAAAGAAAGAUUGCAAAAUAUUUUUAUGAUCUUAUGGUAGGGAAAUGUAAUAUGUAUAAAGGAAAACAUGUAUGUCCAAUAUGUUAAAGUUAAAAACCUCUGUUCAAGACUCCAUAAACCCUCAGAAUAGCGGUUAAUUUCAGUCAUGCCCAGGAAACAUACAAGAUGAGCCUGGAAUACCUUGUGCAAGAUAGCAAGGAAGCUAUUAGAGACUACGAGGGUGUCAUAUCAAAUGGACUCAGGAGACAACUGAAAAGCAUCCUUCUGGCCAUAGAUGAGACCAUUUGAGUGUCAAUAAGGACAGUAAAUGCAAUUGAUUGGAACAUAUCAAGUGUCUUUAAAUCUGAGUACAUAAUGAUUGUAAAACAAACAGCAUUUAGUUGGUCAACAGUAGAAGAUGCUGUUGCAUCAAUUCAUUAUUUUGAAAAUCAGUUUUGUUUUGUUUUUAAAGUAAUUAGGCAUUUGUCCUGCCUUUUGUAUGUGAACUGUAAGUAACCACAUAGUAGAUGAGGAGAGGGUUCUCUUUGUACAUGUAUUCUAGCUAAUAAAUGGAGGAAUGAUAGAAAAUUGCCAUUUUGAAAUUCCUAAUGAACAAAUGGAUUUAUUUAUUGCAUUUCAACAGCUGCUAACAUGACAGACAAGAAAACAUAUGUUUCUUAAUGGAAAAACACCACUACUGAUGUUAAAAUCUUAUCAAAAAUUUGACCCUGAUACUAAUCAGGUCUUUAGAUCCAUCCAAUUUGCAGAAAAUAUAAACACCAUUAAAACUUUAAGCCAAUGAAACCUACCACAACGUAAUAUUUUGGAAUGGAAAAUAUAAAUGAAAAAUCCAAUUUUGGAGAAUAUUGGGACAAAUUAAUUUCAACAAAUAUGUUGCAGGAGAAAAGGAGACGAGAAGGACAAGUGGAGAAAACCGUAGAUUACAAGAGACUUAGUUCAAUAUGAAGCAACCUGUGAACUUGGAUUAGUUAUCUUACUGUAUAACAAAUCACCCUAGCUUAAAUCUAAAAAUAUUUAUACACUUUCUUAGGAUCCACAGGUGGUUUAGCUAGAUGUUCUGGCCCAAGGUCUCAUGAAUUUGCAGUCAAGAUGUUGGCUGGGCUGUAGUCUGAAAGUUUGACUGGUGUUAGAGGAUCCACUUCCUAGAGGGCUCAUUCGUAGAGCUGCCUGUGUUUUCUCACAACAUGGCAACUGGCUUUCUCUAGAACAGGUGAUCCAAGAGAGAGACAGAAACCAUGAUCAUUCAGAGUGAUGUAACAUUACUUCUACUAUAUAAUGUUAGUCACACAGACAUUUCCCUGACAAUAUGUGGGAGGAGAUUACACAAGAGCAUGAAUACUGGGAAGCUAGCUGUCACAAUUUGGCCCCAAUGAUUGAUAGUUCUUGAUUUGCAAAAUAUAUUCAUCCCCUCCAAAAGCUCUCCAAAGCUCUCAUCCUAUGACACCAUUAGUUCAAGGUCUAGAAAUCUAAAUCAGUUCCAAUUGUGGAUGACACUCAUAGGUGUACUUAAGUACAGCUCCUCAAGAAGAGUUCUUUUUGAUCUGAAGACUCAUACACUAAAGACACAGUCUCUGCUUCCACAUGUAAUAGAAAAUGAAUAGGAUAAUAAAUGUGGACAUGUAUAUUUAAAAAGAGGGAAUAUUGGAGGUACAUAGGUUCACAGAAAUUCUGAAACCCACCUGGGCACAGAUUGGCAGUUGCUUGGUCAAGUUUCAAGGCCUAGAAUUCUCUUAGCUCUGCCUUCUGGGAUCUUGGAUCUACUCACUGAGUCACCCUUUCUUUUUCUUGUUUACACUUCUGCCUGCUUUCUGCCUAUAGAAGCUUGGAUGUCCCACAAGCUUCUUUCCAUUUGGUUCUCUCUGUGCCUUUCAGUCCAGGCUGGCCAUGUUUCUGCUAAUAGACUUCUCUUAAAAACUUUGUGGCUCACUUGUGAAUUUUGAGUUCACUCCAUCAGACAAAAGCAACAACCACACAUCUCGUCCCACAUAAACUCUGCCUCAAGCUUUUGCUGAUGAAAAUACCCUUAAACUUUUUAAAAACCUGUGAUGUUAUUCAGAGAUUUUCUGAGACACAUCGUUUGUCUGAUGAAAAUACUCUGAGGCACAACUUAAGAUCUUUCUGAGCUAUUAAAGGACUUUAUAACUACAGCCUCAACUUUAUGUUUUACUGGCAGUGCCCUAGAUUUGCUUUUUGCUCAGAGAUAUUCCCCAAUUUUAGCACAUUUGUCAUCUGCACAGGCUGGGAAUCUUCAAAUCCAGCAAGUUUUGACUUGUUUUUGUUUGUUUGUUUGUAAUAGAGUCUGUUUUUUGCUGUGUUGGCCAGGUGAUCUUGGACUCCUGGCUUCAAGCAUUCCUCCCACCUCAGCCUCCCAAAGUUCUGGGAUUUUAGGUAUAAGCCACCAUGCCCAGCCAUGGCUCCUUUUUGUUUAACAGUCCUUACUUUGAUGGUCUCUCUUCUCACACAUUUUACUAUCAGCAACAAGAAAAAAUACACAUGAAAUAUUUAACACUUGGCCGGCAAUCUCCUUUGCUAGAUCAAUGAGUUAAUUAGGCAUUUUUUCUACUUUGUACAUAUCUGUGGAUAACAAAUUUGCUAAACUUUCUGCCAUUAUGUAACAAGGAUCUCCUUCCCUCUAGUUUCCAAGAAGAGUUUUCUAAUCUGUUAAGAUGUCACCUGCAGCCUCCUCAAAGGUUAUCUAUUAUGCUUCUAUAAAAAAUUUCUUCAAAGCUCUUCAAACUUUCAUUAACACUCUCCUCCAAGUUCUACCUUCUGUUCACUGCCAGUUUUAAAACCACACUUACAUUUUAGGUUUUUGCUAACACCCCACUUCUGAGUACCAAAAUGUAUACUGAUUUUCUAUUGCUGCAUAAUAAACUGCCCCAAAAUACAACAUGCAAAGCAAUAAAUAUUCAUUAUCUCAUGUAGUGUCUGAAGGUCAAAAAUCCGGAAGCAGCAUAGCUGAGUGGUUCUGAUUCAUUGUCUCUUGUGAAGUUAUCAGUCAAACCAUCAGCUGAGACUGUAAUCAUCUGAUGUUUUAACUAGUACCAGAGGAUACACUUUCACAUGCUAUUGGCAGGACACUUUAGUUCUUCACUAGCUGUUUAGCAGAAUACCGCACUUCCUCACCACAUGUACCUCUUCAUAGAGCUUCCUGGCUUCCUCUAAAACAAGUAAUCCAAGAGAGAAGCAGAAGCCACCAUGGUUUUUUAUGCCGUUGUUGACCUAGCCCCCAAAGUGACAUAUUAUUACACAGAUAUGUAGCCAACCUGUGGGUCACUGAUACGGUUUGGAUGUGUGUCCCCUCCAAAUCUCAUGUUGAAAUGUGAUUCUCAGUGUUGGAAGUGGGGCUGGUGAUAGGUGUUUGGUUCAUGAGGGUAGAUCCCUUAUGAAUGGCUUGGUGCUGUCUUUGUGGCAAUAAGUGAGUUCUCACUAUCUGAGUUCACACAAGAGCUGGUUGUUUAAAAGAGCCUGUCAUCUCUUUUGCUCCCUUUCUCACCAUGUGAUAUGCUGCUCCCCUUCUCUUCUGCCAUGAAGAAAAGCUUCCUGAGGCCUUCACCAGAAGCAGAUGCUGGUGCCGUGCUUCUACAGCCUGCAGAACUGUGAGCCAAAUAAAGUUCUUUCCUUUAUAAAUUACCCAGCGUCAGGUAUUGUUUUAUAGCAAUGCAGAACAGACUAACACAGACACACACACCAACCAAGUACAGUAUGAGAAGGGAUUAUUGGGUGCCAUUUUGGAGGUUGUCUACCACAGGAUUUUAUCUGUAUCAUUAUUCAAAUUUCGUUUUUGAAAAAUUUUGUAAGGGCACAUUUAUAGAAAUAUGAAUGCUUAAUAUUUGAUGAUAUUAGGGAAUUAAACCAUUUUUGUGUGAUAGUAAUUUUUAAAGAUUCCUUAUCUUUUAGAAAUACAUAUUGAAAUAUUUAGAGAUGUAGUGAUAUAAUGUCUGGGGUAUGCUUCAAGAUAAGAGUUGCAGAAAGUGGGUGGUAGUAUAAAUCAAGAUUGGUUAUGAGUUGAGAAUUUUUGAGUAAUAGGUAUAUGGGGACUAAGUAUUCUAUUCUUCAUACUUUUACAUGCCGUAAAUCCCCACUUAUCUGCAGGGAAUGUGUUCCAAGACCCCCAGUGGAUGCCUGAAACUGAGAAUAGUACUGGACCCUGUAUAUACUGUGUUUUUUCUUUCCUUAUUGAGAACUUUUAUGUUUUCACUUAAAGGAAGGACUUUACAGCUUCUCUUUCGCAUAUCCAAAUUGCCAGCAUCACCGCUCUUGCACUCCAAGCCAUUAUUAAGUAAAGUAAAGAACACAAACACUGUGAUACUGCUACACUUGAUCUGAUAACCAAGAAGUCUACUAAGUGACUAACAGGUGGGUAGCAUAUACAGCAUAGAUACACUGGACAAAGGGAGGACUCACAUCCUGGGCAAGAUGGAGCAGAAUGGCAGAGUUCAUCAUGCUGCUCAAAAUGAUGUGCAAUUUAAAACUAAUGAAUUAUUUCUGGAAUUUUUCAGUUAAUAUUUUUGGACAUGAGGUGACUGCAGUUAACUAAAACCAUGGAAAGCAAACCCAUAGAUAAAGGGAUACUAUGGUAUGUUUUCAUUUUCUAUAAUAAAAAGUUAAAAAGGAAAAAGACACCAUAGGAAAAUAAAAGACAAGUCACAAACUGGGAAAAGAUCUUUGCAACACAUGUGACUAUCGAAAGGAUUAGUAUUCACACUGUGUAAAGAACCACUACAAUUCAAUGAAAAUGAAGAUAAUGCUUUCCACCCCAAACAGGCAAUUCAUACAGGAGAAAACCUGAAAAGAUACCCAACCACAAGGAAAUACCAUUUCACACCCACCAGAUGAACAAAAAUGUAAAAGUCUGGCAAUAUUACAAUUCUUAUACAUUGCUGGUUGGAGUAUGAAUUGAUAUAAUCAAUUUGGGAAACAAUAUGGUAUUAUCUAGUAGCUGAAGAUGCACAUCUUCUGUGACCCAGGAAAAAUGUAUAGCAGGAGACAUGAGCAAGAAAAUUCAUAAUGGCAUUUAUAACAGUAAAACGUGGAAGAAAAUCCACUGUCCAUCAACAGUAGAGUGAUUAAAUACAUUGUAUAUGCUCAUACAGCAGAAUAUAGUGGUGGAAAAAAUAAAUUACAAGUUCAUGGACAUAGAUAAAUCUCUAACAAAAUGUUGAGCAAAUAAAAAUUCACAAAAGAAUUUUACAGUAGGAUUCCAUUUAUAUAAAGAACCAAUGAAAGUAAAUAGCCUAAGGGUACAAACAUAAGUAAAUCUAUAAAUUAAAGCAAAAGAAUGAUAAGCACAAAUUCAAGGCAGUGAUUUCCUCUAGCUACAGAGGGAAGGGAAUGAAGUAAGGAAAAGGUGAACAAGGAGCUUAAAAGUAUGAUAAUUAUAUGUGUUGGUUUGGCCAAACAGUCCUGGUUUACCUAGCACAGUUCUGGUUUGCUGAUUGCCUGGUGUAAUGAUUAAUAGCACUGUCACUCCCCAAAUUGUCAUUGUUUGGAUAAUGAAUUAUAUGCAUCCUUUUUAGAGUAAAAGUAACUUUUUUCUCCUUAAACUGGAUGGAGGGCAUGUGGGUCUUUAUCAUUCUUCCUUAUACAUGUAUUUUUAAAAUAUAAUUUAAAACUAGUCAGUAUUUUAAAAUAUAAUUUAAAACUUUAGUCAGUGUUAGUCACUGUGUUAGUGACAACACAGUAAAAAAAAAAAAUUUGUAAGAUAAAUAAAUAUAAAUAGGAUCCAAAUGAAACUCUUUUCAUCUGGGUGGAUACAGGGAUAAAUAACAUACUAUAUGCCUGGCAUUGUAUUAAGCUUGUUACUGAUAUUACUUCAUAUUCAUAGCAAGACAUUUAGGUAGGCAUUAUUAUCUCCAUUUUACACAUGAAGAAUCUAAGACACAAAGACUAUACAUAAUUUAACCAAAGUCAUAUUAUAUGUGACAGCGCAGAAUUUGAACCCAAGCAGUGUGACAUCAGACUACAUGCUCUUAACUACCAUGCCAGAGCCCAUAACAGAUUUUCUUAACCUUUUUUAUGCCACAGAUCCCUUUGACAGUCUGGUGAAGCCUAUAGAGUCCUUUUUAGAGUAAUGUCUUUUGUACAUCAAAUAUAAUGCACAGGAUUAUAAAUAAAAUCAAUUAUACUAAAAUAUGGUAAUCAAAAUAUUUAACAAAUGUAUACUAUACCUGUACUUUUUAUUAAUGCAUUAAAUAAAUAAUAAAAUCUAGCAGGUCUAAUGAAUAAUUUUGAAAUAAUAAUAAUAAUUGUAUCUUGAGAUAUCUACAAAUAUAGUAAUGUGAUAGGAAAAUGUUUGUGAUUUUGAUAAGUGAAAAAGUCACCAAAAUACUUGUAAUAACACUGUGGUUUUUUGCAUAUGUUCACAAUGGAAAGAAAUCCUAAAUCUUACUUCGAAGUUAGCAAGAAUUACAAUAUUUUUCCCACCCCAAUUCAUGGCCCUCUACUUUAUGGUCUUAUUUCAUAGGCUUUCUGACAUGUUUUGCUUCAAAGAGGUCCUAUUCCCCAUCCCAUUUCCUAUCUUCUGGUUUGGGAUUACACUCAAGAUGUGAUAUACAGAUAGAUUAGUUUAUUAGAAAGAAAAUAUUUUUCCACAUGGCGAACUUUAGUGGAGGCUAACAAAUCAGAAUGUGCUAAAAUAGCCAUGUGUACAUAUAGACAAUGGGAAGCUUGGAACUGCUUUAGCAUUUUAUACAAAAGACUUAAAAGUAAUUUCAGCUGGGCACUGUGGCUCGGGCCUGUAAUCCCAGCACUUUGGGAGGCUAAAGUGAGAGGAUUGCUUGAGGCCAGGAGUUCAAGACCAGCCUGGGCAACAUAGUGAGACCCUCCCCCCAUCUGUACAAAAAAAUUACAAAAUUAACCAGGCAUUGUGGCUCGCACCUGUGGUACCAGCUACUUGGAAGGCUGAGACAGGAGGAUGGCUUGAGCCUGGGAGGUUGAGGCUUUAAUGAGCCAUGAUCAUGCCACUGCACUCCAGCUUGGGCAACAGAGUGAGACCCUGUUUCCAAAAACAACAAAAACUGGUUUCAAAUAUAUUGCUACAUUGGAAUUCUCCAUAAAGGAAUUAAUUGUUGAUAACAAUGCCCUCAGUAUACUAUUUGUCAAUACCUAUAACAAUGCAACAAACAAAAAAGAAAAUUUAAAUAGCUGGACCACAUUAAAAGUUUUAUUGGGCUAAAAUCAAAAACAUCUGACAAGUUUUUGACUUGUCUUUCUCAUGAUUUAAUGUCCCAGCAGAGCAACUGGGAACCUAAUUCUGACCAAAAAGGAGGAAUUGUUUGGCUAAUUGGAAGUGACAGAAACCUUGGGAGAAAGCAACCGCAUACCAAGGAUAAUUAUAAGAAGAAGAGAAGACAUGGAGAAGAGGAGGGAGUAGUUGUGACCGUGGAGGCAGAGAAUGGAGUAAUGUGAUCAUAAAUCAAGGAAUGCUGACAGCCACUAAAGCUGGAGAAGGCCAAGGACAGAUAUUCAAUCCUCCCGUAGAAGUACAGCCCUGCUAAUGCAUUGAUUUUGGACUUCUGGCCUCAGAACUGUAAGAGAAUAAAUUUCUAUUGUUUUAAGCCUUCAGUUUGUGGUAGUUUGUUACAGAAACCCUGUAAAGUUAAUACACAGAGUUCAAAGAGAAUCCGGUAAUAUCUCUAAAAGACUCGUGUAUUAGUCAGGAUUCUCCAGAGAAGCAAAGCCAAUAGAAUGAUACAUGUUGUUAAAGCAAAUUAAAAUGGAGACCAUGCCUGAAGAAUCUCUGUGCAGAGAAACCCAGUUAGGCCUCAUAAGUUAACCUUACUUGAUUUGCAAACAUAAUCUAAAAGUUAACUGGAGCUAUUUCCGGUAAAUGAAUAUAACACAACUUAAGCUCAAUCAGUCAGAAGCAGCUUUAUAAUUAUGUAGCUAGGGACUUUCCAAGAGGAUGACCAAAGAAGGAAAUGAUAUAACUAUAACCAAAUAAAUAUUUUCUUUGCUUUCCUGUUCCUCCUAUAAAAGCCUCCCCACUGCUGAGCUGUGCUCAGCAGAGCUCCGAAACAACUUCUGGUUUAGAGUUGCCCGAUUUGUGAAUCACUGUUUGCUCAAAUAAACUCUUUAAAAUUUUAUUGUAUCUCAGGUUAUCUUUUUUAGAUAGAUAGAUGAUAUAUGAUAGAUAGAUAGAUAGAUAGAUAGAUAGAUAGAUAGAUAGAUAAUAGAUAGAUAGAUAGAUUAUUUAUUAUGGGAAUUGGCUCAAUCACAGAGACCCAAGAUCUGCCGUCUGCAAACUGGAGAACCAGGAAAGCCAGUGGUGUAAUCAAGUUCAAAGGGCUGAGAACCAGGAGAAUCAAUAACUUAAUACCCAAUGUAAUAAGGCCUGAGAAUGUGGGGUAGGGAUGCUAGUAUAAGUCCUAGAGUCUGACUACUGCAGAACCAGGAGUUCUGAUGUCCAAGGGUAGGAGAAGAUGGAGGUCCUAAAUCAAGAAUAAAGCAAAUUCACCUUUUCUUUGCCCUUUUUGUUCUAUUUGGGCAGGCCUCCAGUGAAUUGGAUGAUGCCCACCCACACUGGUAGAGCAGAUCUUUAGUCAGUCUUGAUUCAAAUGCUAAUUUCUUCACAGAGGCACACAGAAAUACUGUUUUAUCAUCUAUCUGGAUAGCCCUUAACACAGCCAAGUUGACACAUAAAAUUAACCAUCACAAUUAGGUUUUCCUGGGUUGGAAGGAAUGGGAGAUAAUGAAACGGGUGCUGGAGGGUAGAGGAGGUCUGAGGGACUUCUUGGCGGGACUAUGUGAACCAGAAUGGAAUGAGCAAAUUACAGACCCCACAGUCUCUGCUCUGACAGAGAUUGCCAGAGUUUGAAAUAGACCUGAUAGGGUUACUACAGGUUACCAGAACCGGGAAGUCAUGUGGCAGCCAAGCUAAUAUCCAAAGAUCACCCAAAGAGUAUUUCAUGUGAUCAGGAAGAGUCUCUGUUUAAUUGACAACUGCUUCCCACUUCCCAUCCCCUUCACGUGUAGCAGGAGUCACAGCUGUCUGUAUGCAGGUACUUUACUCGACCCUAUCCAAACUAUUAAUAGGAAAAAGUACUUUCUCAGUAGUCUAAGUAGUCACAAACCCUAAGAAAUACAGAAAAGAUUAUGGACAUCUACGGGAGUGCCAGUGAUAUAAAAUGAUAAUCCAUAUCACAUGGAAACCCUCCCACAUAAAUAAUCUUUAUUUGACUAGGACUUUAUUCAUUCAACUGAGAUUCUCCAACACCCCUGAUAACCAGCCAGGACCGUGCUGAUCCUAGGCAACAAUCUAAAAGGAAUAAUUAAAGGAUGCUCUGGGAGCAUCUAUAAGAGAAAGCAGUAAUCAAUCGAAUACAGCACGGGUUUAUCUAUAAUAAUUUCAGUCUAAUUUAAUUUUCUUUCUGAUAGUGUUACUAGGCUAGUCAACCAAUAAAAUGCAGUAGGUAAUAUUUUUCUGGGCCCAUGAGGUAUUACUGACUUUUUUUUUUUUAUCAUAUCCUUGUGAGUAAGUUGGAGGGGUUGGGGAGGCUAGAUGGUAGUACUGUCAGGGAAGGACUUAGCAUCCAAAGGGUACUGACUCCUAGAUGGCAGUCAGCCUCUCCAGAGGUUUUUAGUAUAGAAUUACAGUCCUCGGUCUUCUGUGUUUCAUUGACUUAAAAGAAAACAUAGAAUCCAUAUUUAUCAAAUUUUUACCUGAUUCAAAAUCAGGAAGGAUAGUAUUUUUUCCAAACUUUGGAACAGCUUGAUGUUGACUCUGGGCUAAAUUCUGUAUGGGCAUAAUUAGAAUCAAUAAAAUUUUGAGAGUCUAUAACAAUAUAGGCAGAGUCCAACAAACUAGUAGGAUUUUUAAGUUUAUUCACUCAUUUAGAUGUCACAAAUUUCUGGAAUAUCAACUCUGUGUAAAUGUCUAUGUUAGGCUUUAGAAUAUGAAUAAGGUAUGUUAGACUGCAGGAGUUUAAAAUCUGGUGAAUAAAACAAACUUGUAAACACAAAAUACAACAAAUAUUAAUUGUAAGGCAUUAUUUAGCAUUAUAUUUAGUAAAAAAAACUACAGUUAAUUGUAUGAUAUGCACAGGGACUGGCAUGUGUGAAACACCUUUAGACAUUUAAUAAGCUGGAAAAAAUAAUAUUUACCAUAAACAUAUACUACUGGUGCAAACAUAAAAUAGUAAUUUUGUGGAAAGUAAUUAUGUACAAGCCAUACUAUUUAAUGCAGCAAUUUCCUUCUAAGAAUCUACUUUAAAAAUAAUCUAAAAUAUAUUCAUGUUAUAUAUAUAUAAGGAAGUUCAUAAUCAAAUUAUUUAUAAUGGCAAAAAAGUUUAACAUGAAUGAUUAAAAAGAUAGUAUAGCCAUAUGAUAGUGUCAUAAUCAUAAACAGUUAUGUCUCUAAAAAACAGGUGUCUGAAAUAUUAUGUCACAUUCUAGAAUAGCAUGUUAUAGUCAACUAGAAGUCUGGGAAAAAAUGAUUUUUUUACUGUAAAACCUCUUGAAAGUUUUGAAUUUUGUGCCAUGUUGCGUGUAACACAUUCAAAAAAUAAACACAAUUUUAAAAUAAAGGAUUCAACUUAAAAUUUUAAAAAUACACUUACAGAUAGUUUUUAAUGAUAUAAAGAAAUACUCAUGAUAUACUAAGUGAAAGGCAAGGACAUUACAUUAUUUCUUGCAGCAGUUAUGAAUAAUUGGAAAAUGUAUUACCUGGCUGUAUUACUAGGAAUAUUUUCUUCAGUAUUUUGCACCCUAAGAAAUCUAGGACUGGUUUACAUAAAAGCAAGCAGAAUGAUGAAGAAACUCACCUUAAGAACGGUUGAAUGAAAAUGUAAAUGUUUAGCCUGGAAUAUAUAUAUAUAUAUGAGAUCAUGAUGACUGUCUUCAAGCAUCUGACAUCCUGCCAUGUGAAAAAGUGAUCACGCUUCCACUGGAAGGUCUCAGAGGAUGGAACUAGACCCAUUGGCAGGAGCUAUAGCAAGCCAUUUCAACUCGAUGUCAAAAUACUUGCAGACUUAGUCACUUGCUUAUAUGUCAUUUCAGUUCAAUGUCAGGAAACACAUCCAAAAAGAACAGGGCAAAAAAUGAGUGGUUUCCCAGUCACUUGAAAGAUUCAAGCAUAAAUUAUCACUUCCUUGAUAGGACAUUAUGGAAGAGAUUCAAGCAUCAGAAGUGUGGUUUUUGGGUGUGAUUCCAGCUGUACGAGAAGCCAUUUAAUCCCCCUGGAACUUAGUUCUCCAUAAAAUGGGGACGUUUGACUAAAGUACCUCUAUCUCUUUUUGAGUUUGAAACUCUUUUGAUUCUGCUUUGGAGUAACAACAUUUUUCUCUCUUCCAGAUUUAUAUAUCAGCUUUUUAUCAGUUGAAAUAAACCACCCUGGGCCGGGUGCAGUGGCUCACACCUGUAAUCCCAGCACUUUGGGAGGCCGAGGCAGGUAGAUCAUUUGAGGUCAGGAGUUCAAGGCCAGCCUGACCAACAUGGUGAAACCGCAUCUCUACUAAAAAAUACAAAAAUUAGCCCGGUGUUGUGGCAGGCGCUUGCAAUCCCAGCUACUCAGGAGGCUGAGGCACAAGAAUUCCUUGAACCUGGGAGGUGGAGGUUGCAGUGAGUCGAAACCAAGCCACUGCCCUCCAGUCUGGGCAACAGAUUGAGAGUCUGUCUCGAAAAAAAUAAAUACAUAAAAUAAAUAAGCCACACUGUACUUGUGAAGAUUAACUGAGAUGUUUAAAACAUUAUUUGCAAAAAUGCAAGACAUGAUGUAAGUGUAAAGCAUUAUUAUAUAUCAACAUAAUUGACCAUUAGAAAAAUGCAAAUUAACACCUCAAUGAGAUAUAUCACCAGACACCUGUUAGAAUGGUUAAAAUAAAAAGUACUGAUGAUAUUAAGUGCUGAUAAAAUGCAGAGUAACUCGAUCUCUCAUACAUUGCUGAUGCUAAUGUAAAAUGAUAUCACCACUCUAGAAAACAGUUUGGCAGUUUCUUAUAAAGUUAAACAUGCACUUACUAUACAACCCAGUAAUACACCUACUGGAUAUUCAUUCUAGGGAGAUCAAAAUUUACACCCAAAAACAUGUACAUAAAUGUUCAUAUCAGCUUUAUUUACAAUAGCCCAAAAGGAAACAAUCAGAUGUCCUCCAAUUGAUAACUGGUAUAACCCUAUCACAGAAUCCUACUGAGCAAUAAAAAGGAAAGCACUGUUGAUACAUACAACAACUUGAGUGCAUUUCAAGGCUGUUAUGCUGACUGAAAUAAAAGCUAAUCUCAAAAGGUUAUGUAUUAUGUGAUUCUGUUUAUAUAACAUUCUCAAAUUGCAAAAUCACAGCAAUGAAGAACUGAUCAGUAGUGCCAGGGGUUAGGGUUGUGGGGAGGGUGUGAUGAUGAAUGGGCAGCGUAAGAGAAUUUCUUUGGAGUGAUGGAAUAGUUUUAUAUCUUGAUUAUAGUGAUCAUUAUAUUAAACAAUUGCAUGUGAUAAAAUUCUAUAGGACUGUAUGCCAAAAAUAACUUAAUAUGUUUAUUUUUAAGGUCUGGAAAGCAUGGAAAUUUGUAUCUUCAUUCACUUUUGUUUUCAUGGACUCUUUUCAUGUUUGAACUUUUCAUGACGGAGUCCUGCUGUGUUGUCCAGGCUGGUCUUGAACCCCUGGACUCAAACGAUCUUUCUCCUUGGCCUCCCAAAGUUCUGGGAUUACAGGUAUGAGCUACAGUGCCCUGAGAGUCCUUUUUAAAGUAGUGAAUGCUCAAACAUGGAAUUAAAUUUAGGCAAAGCUCACUUUUAUUUAUACAUAAAACAACUUCAGCCAUGUACCUCAUAACGAUAUUUUGGCCAAUGUCUGACCUUAUAUACAAUGGUUGUCCUGUACGAUUAUAAUGAAGCUGAAAAUUUUCUAUUGCCUAGUAACAUUGUAGUAAUUGUAAUGUAGCACAACCUAUCACACGUGUUUGUAGUGAUGCUGGUGUAAACAAACCGACUGCAUUGCCAGUCUAGUAUAAAAGUCUAGCACACACAAUUAUCCACAGUAUAUAAUAGUUGAUAAUGAUAAUAAACAACUGUCACUGGCUUAUAUAUUUGCUAUACUAUACUUUUUAUCAUUAUUUUAGAGUAUAUUUAGAGUAUAUUAAGCAGCCUUAGGCAGGUCUUUCAGGAGGCAUUCCAGAAGAAGGCAUUGUUAUCAUAGGAGGUGACAGCUCCCUGUGUGUUGUUGCCCCUGAAGAACUUCCAGUGGGACAAGAUAUGGUGGUGAAAGACAGUGAUAUUGAUGAUCUUGACCCUGUGUAGGCUUAGGCUCAUGUGUUUGUGUCUUCAUUCUUUUUUUUUUUUUGAGAUGGGGUCUCGCACUGUUGCCCAGGCUGGAGUGCAGUGGCGCGACCUUGGCUCACUGCAAGCUCCGCCUCCUGGGUUGAUGCCAUUCUCCUGCCUCAGCCUCCCAAGUAGCUGGGACUACAGGUGCCCACCACUACGCCUGACUAAUUUUUUGUACUUUUAGUAGAGACGGGGUUUCACCAUGUUAGCCAGGAUGGUCUUGAUCUCCUGACCUCGUGAUCCGCCCGCCUCGGCCUCCCAAAGUGCUGGGAUUACAGUAUUUAAGACAUUUUUAUAAAUUAAAAAUUUUUUAAAUAGAAAAAAGCCUAUAGCAUAAGGAUAUAAAGAAAAAGUAUUUUUAUGCAGCUGCACAAUGUAUUUGUGUUUUAAACUGUGUUAUUAUGCAAGAGUUACAGAGUUUUUAAAAAUAAAAAGUUUAUAAAGUAAAAAACUUACAACACAUCAAAAGAUAAUACACCAUGAUCAAGUGGGCUUUAUCCCAGGGAUGCAAGCAUAGUUCAACAUAUGCAAAUUAAUAAGUGAUAUCAACAGAAUGAAGGACAAAAGCUUUAUGAUCAUCUUAACAGAUACAGAAAAGCAUUUGAUAAAAUUUAACUUCCUUCAUGAUAAAAACUCUCGAAGGAACAUACCUCAGCAUAUUAAGGGCCAUAUAUGGUUAACCCAGAGCUAAAAUCAUACUGAACAGGGAAAAGCUGAAAGCCUUCCUGCAAAGAACUGGAACAAGACAAGGAUGACCACUUGCACCACUCUUAUUCAACAUGGUACUGGAAGUCCUAGCCAGAGCAAUCAGGCAAGAGAAAGAAUUAAAAGACAUCCAGUUGGAAAAAAGGAGGUCAUAUAUUUUCUCUGCAGACAACAUAAUCUUAUAUCUAGAAAAACCUGAAGACUCCACCAAAAAGGGUGAGCAUGGUGACUCAUGCCUGUAAUCUCAGCACUUUGAGAGGCUGAGGCAGGAGGAUCACUUGAGCCCAGGGGUUCAAGACCAGCCUGGACAACAUAGUGAGACCCCAAUCUCUAAAAAAAGUUAAAAACUUUAGCCAGGUGUGGUGGCACAUGCCUGUUGUCCUAGCUGCUUGUGAGCCUGGGGUGGGAGGAUCACUUGAGCCCUGGAGUUUAAGGCUGCAGUGAGCAAUGAUCAUGCCACUGCACUGUAGCCUGGGUUGUGACAGCGCAAGACACUGUUAAUAAACAAGACAAAACAGACUCCAUCAAAAAGCUCUUAGAGCUGAUAAACAAAUUCAGUAAAGUUUCAGGAUCCAAAACCAACAUGCAAAAAUCAGUAGUGUUUCUAUACGCCAAUAACAAACAAGCUGAAAAAUACAUUAAGAAAGCAAUUCCAUUUACAAUAGCUACAAAAAAAAAAACUUAGAAAUAAAUGUAACCAAGGCGGUAAAAGACCUCUAUGCCAUAAACGACAGAACAUUGAUGAAAGAAAUUGAAAAGGACACAAAUAGAUAUCCCAUGUUCAUGGAUAGAAAUAAUUAAUAUUGUUAAAAUGACCAUACUACUGAAAGUAAUCUACAGAUUCAAUGCAGUCCCUAUCAAAACACCAAUAAAAUUACUCACAGAAAUAGAAAAAAAAAUCCUAAAAUUUGUGUGGAACAACAAAGGCCCUAGGUAGCCAAAGCAUUCCUGAGCAAAAAUUAUAAAGUGAGAGGCAUUGCCCAACCAGACUUCAAAAUAUACUACUAAGCUAAGUAACCCAAACAACAUGUUACUGGUAUAAAAACAGACACAUAUACCAAUGGAACAGAAUAGAGAACCCAAGAAUAAUCUAUCUAUUUAUAGCCAACUGAUUUUUUGUGAACAUGCCAAGAAUAUACAUUGGGGAAAGGAUAUUCUCUUUAAUAAAUCAUGUUGGGAAAAUUGGAUAUCCGUAUACAGAAGAAUGACACUAAACUCCUAUCUCUCACCAUAUACAAAUAUCAAUUCAAAAUGAAUUUAAAAACUUAAAUAUGAGACUCCAAACUGUAAAACUACUAAAAGAAAACACAGAAGAAACACUUCAGGACAUUGGUCUACAUUGGUCUAGCCAAAGAUUUUAUGUCUAAGACUUCAAAAGCAUAGGCAACAGAAACAAAAAUAAAUAAAUGGGAUUAUAUGAAACUAAAAAACUUCUGCACAGCAAAGGAAACAAUCAACAGAGUGAAGAGAUGACUUGUAGAGUGACAGAAAGUAUUUGCAAACUAUUAAUCUGAUAAGGGACUAAUAUCCAGAAUAUACAAGAAACUCAACAGGAAAAAAAAAGUCCCAUUAAAAAGUGGGCGAAGGAUCUGAAUAGAUAUUUCUCGAAAGAAAACAAGCAAACGGCCAACAAAUACAUGAAAAAAUGCCCAACAUCACUAAUCAUCAGGGAAAUGCAGAUCAAAACCACAGUGAGAUAUCAUCUCACCCCAGUUAGAAUGGCUAUUAUCAAAAAGGCAAAAAAUAGGUGUGGUGGCAUGUGUCUGUGAUCCCAGCUACUCAGGAGGUUGGGGCCAGGAAUUUAAGCUGCAGUGCGCUAUGAUCACACCUGUGAUCACUGCACUCUAGCCUGGGCAACAUAAUGAGAACCCAUCUCUAAAAAAAUACUAAUAAUUAAACAUUUUUAAGAAGACAAGAAAUAAAUGCUGACCAGGAUUCAGAGAAAAAGAAACAUACGCUGUUGGUGAGAAUGUAAAUUAGUACAGCUAUUGGCCAGGUGCAGUGGCUUACGCCUGUAAUCCCAGCACUUUGGGAGGCCAAGGUGGGCAGAUCACUUGAGGCCAGGAGUUCAAGACUUGCCUGGCCAUCUCUACUAAAAAUACAAAAAUUAGCCAGGCAUGAUGGGACACACCUGUAAUCCCAGCUACUUGGGAGGCUGACGUGGGAGAAUCAUCUGAGCUUGAGAGGUGGAGAUUGCAGUGAGCCGAGAUCAUGCCUCUGCACUCCAGCCUGGGUGACAGAGUGAGACUCCAUCUCAAAACACACACACACACACAAAAAAAAAACAAUACAGCCAUUAUGGAAAACAGUAUGGAGGUUUCUCAAAAACUGAAAAUACAACUUCCGUAUGAUCCAGCAAUCCCACUACUGGGUAUUUAUCUCCCCAGAAGGGAAAUCAGUAUAUCAAAGAGACAUCUUCACUCCAUUGUUUAUUGCAGCACUAUUCACAAUAGUCAAGGUAUGAAAUCAAACUAAGCAUCCCUCAACAGAUGGAUAAAGAAAAUGUGCUAUAUAUACACAAUGGAAUACUAUUCUGCAACAAAAAGGGAAUAAAAUCCUAUCAUUGUAGCAAUAUGGACAGAACUGGAGGUCAUUAUGUUAAGUGCGAUUAGCCAGGUACAGAAAGACAAAUAUUGCAUGAUCUCACUCAUGUGGGAGCUAAGAAAGUUGAUCUCAUGGAGGUAGAGAGUAGAAAAAAAGUUGAGAUUAGGAAGGGUGUGGUGGAGUGAGUAAAGUGAGGUUGGUUAAAGGGUAGAAACACAGAAAGAAGGGAUAAGUUCUAAUGUUUAAUAGCAUGUAGGAUGGCUAUAGUUAACAAUAAUUUAUUGUAUAUUUAAAAAUAGCUGCAAGAGAAUAUUUGAAAUGUUCACAACACAAAGAAAUAAUAAAUGUUUGAGGUAAUGGAUAUCCUAAAUACAUUGAUUUGAUCCUUACACAUUGUAUGCAUGUACCCCAGAAAUAUGUAUAUUUAUUAGAUAUCAAUAGUUUUUUAAAAGUUAAAAAGGAACAAAACCAUGAAAAAUUUAUAGUAAGCUAAGAUUAAUUUAUUAUUUAAGAAAUAUUUUUAAAAAUACAUUUGGGGUAGCCUAAGUGUACAGUGUUUAUAAAGUCUACAGUACUAGACAGUAAUGUCCUCAGCCUUCACAUUCACUCACCACUCACUCACUGACUCACCCAGAACAACUUCCAGUACUGCAAGCUCUGUUCAUGGAAGUGCCCUAGACAGGUGUACCAUUUUUAAUCUUUUAUACUGUAUUUUUACUGUAUCUUUUCUGUGUUUAGAUACCAAAGUACUUCCCAUUGUGUUACAAUUGCUUAGAGCAUUCAGUACAGUAACAUGCUAUGUUUAUAAUCUAAGAGUAAUCAGCUAUACUGUACAGUCUAGGUGUGUAGUAGGCAAUACCAUCUAGGCUUGUGUAAGUAUAUUCUAUGAUUUUCAUACAACAAAAUCACCUAAUGAUGCAUUUCUCAGAACUUAUUCUUGUCUGUUAAGCAACAUGUGACUGUGUUUUAUUCUUAUUUUUAAAUUUUACAUCAUCUUUUCAAGGAAACCUCUGGAAAAAAAAAUUAUACCAAAAUUUUCACUGCCCACUCAAAGUGGUCUAUUUUUACUGUUUAUCUUACAACUGAAGAGACUAUCCAUGCCUUGCUAAAUUCUACUUUAGCUGCUGAGUCUGUCUAUAUACUUAAUAAAUUUACUGUCAUUCAAAUUACAUAAUAAACAUAGGAGCUUACAAUUACUUUUCUAGGAUAAAAUCUAUGCAGGAAGUUUGUCUCAAGAGAGGAAUUUUUGCUGGGUGGCACAUGUCUGUAAUCCCAGCACUUUGGGAGGCUGAGAUGGGAGGCUCACUUGAGCCCAGGUGUUCAAGAUCAGCCUAGGCAACAUUGUGAGACUCCAUAUCUAAAAAAAAAAAUUUUUUUUAAUAACUGGGUGUGGUGGCAUGCACCUGUAGUUCCAGCUACAAGGGAGGCUGAGGUGGGAAGAUUGCUUGAGCUCAGGAGGUCGAGGUUGUAGUGAUCUGUGAUCAUACUGCUGCACUCCAGUUUGGGUGACAGAGUGAGACCCUAUCUCAAAAACAACAUAAAAAGUGGAUUUUUAAUAAGAUAAUCCUUAUGGAUACUAAAAUAUUAGCUUUCUUUGGGAAGUAUAACUUCUGUCAAUGAGAUUACCAAUAUUUGCCAAUAUUUUCAGUCUUCCUGUCUUUUCUGGAUAUGUAAAAUUCUACAUUUCUUAGUUCUGCAAGUUGAGCAGGGCCAUGUGACUAUAUCUACCAAUGGACAGUGACCAAAGGUGAUAUGUAUCACUUCCAUGCCAAAGCAUGUAAGAGUCAGUGUAUGAUUUGCCCAUCCAUACUGUCUUUUCUGGAACAAAGAGCCCUGAGAUAUCACAUUGAAAUGGAGACACCAGGAAAAGGGAGCAAUCUGGAAUGUUGAGUCACUAUGUGAAGGGCUGACAUGGAGAAACUCCUGCACUCUUGGCAGAUUUGCCUGAGUAAGAAACUGUCAUGUGAUAGGACUCUCAGAUUUUUGUUUAGUUUAUAACUAUCAGCAUUAUUCCCUAGCCUAUCCUGACAAACAGAAUCUGUACCUAACUUGGUUUGUUGUGUUAAAAGUUUUCAUGGCCUUUUGUGCUCCCAUACAUUAGAUGAACAGUUGUAUAUACAUUUUCAAAUUUUCCAGUAAGGAAGUAUUUAAUAUGAUAAACAUUUCAAUUAAUAAUUUGUUCUAUUAGUCUCUAGUACCAACUUAAGAUGUCAAAUUUCUAAUCUAAAUGAACAAUACUUUUAAUUACAUAUAUAACUUUAUCUCAUACUUAUACCCUGUGUUAAUCAUUACCAAACAAUAGAAAGGGUACAUUUUUGUUGUUGUUGUUGUUGUUAUUGUUGUUGUUUUGUUGUUGUUGUUUUGAGAUGGAGUUUCAUUCUUGUCAACCAGGCUGGAGCACAAUGCCACGAUCUCAGCUCACUGAAACCUCCACCUCCUGUGUUCAAGCGAUUCUCCCAUCUCAGCCUCCCAAGUAGCUGGGAUUACAGGCACGCACCAUCACGCCUGGCUAAUUUUUGUAUUUUUAGUAGAGAUGGGGUUUCACCAUGUUGGCCAGGCUGGUCUCGAACUCCUGACCUCAGGUGAUUCAUCCAUCUCAGCCUCCCAAAGUGCUGGGAUUACAGGCGUGAGCCACUGCGCUGGGCCAGGUACAUUUGUGUAUGCAGUCUUCUUUUUAAAUAUUUUUAAAAAUAUUAUUUUAAAAAAUAUUUUGUAGAGACAAGCUUUCACUAUGUUUCCCAGGCUGGUCUCGAACUUCUGGCCUCAAGCGAUUCUUUUGCCUCAGCCUCCAAAACUACUGGGAUUACAGCAUGAGCCAUCAUGCCCAGCUAUACAGCCUUCUAAUUUACUAAAUAACGUUGAUGUGCUUGAUCAUGUUCCCUGGAAAACAGACCCUGAGAAGGAGAUUUGCAUGCAGGAAUAUUUAUUCGAGAAUGCUCUUAGAAUCAACACUGGUGAAAUGCAGGAUUGAGUAGAGGGAGAAGUUCACUGUGAUGUACUUACAAUAAAGCCUAAGCUGACCCUAGGAUGGCUCUAAAGCUAGAGUGGCACUUUAGAGGCAUCCCAAAUGAAGGCAGGGGGUUGAACCUCUGUAUGUACAUCAAUGGCCACUCAUUUAUCUAAUGGCUGACUCCUGGAGAUGAGUGUGACCUUGAGUAAGGCUGAGAGCAAUUCCUGUAUGGAGCUGAUAUUUUGAGAGCUGUCAGCCAACGUCAUUCCCAGAAGCUGAGCAAAGAAUUCUUUCAGCCCUGAAAAGGAAUCUGGGUAGUAUAGCUGUGUUCAAUACAACUGAUAAUCAUAAAGGGACAUGUAUCUAUCUGAAGUUGUUAGAUGAUCACCAACACCACCACCACCACCAUCAUCAUUGUCAUCAUCAUCACAUUUACACUGAUAACUUUAGUAUGUGCCAGGCACUUGUCCUAAGUGCUUCGAAAUAAUAUAUUAACUUGUGUAAUUCUCAUGUUAACCCUAUAAUAUAAUCUUAAAUUCUUUGUCCUCAAAAAUAAAAAUCAAUAUAAGUGCUUUUUCUGUAACACAUUCCAAUCCAGAAUGCUUUACUAAUGACCAUUCAGUAAUUUCCAUUGUAUGUUAUUUUAUCCAUCAUGAACAGCCCCAUUUGGUGAUAGUCAUUGGCCAAGAUAGUUACUUUUGCUCAUGGGUUGCAUCUUCUAAAUAAUGGAUGGUAUUAUGAUGUCUGUAAUUUACUUUCAAAUAAAUGAUCACAGAUAAUAUGAUACUGUGUGGAUAUAUGUGUGUGUGUGAUAUUAUGUGUGUUAAUUUAGGCUAUAAGUGCACUUGUUUGCCAUAAUUAAGAAGUCACAUUCCCAUGUAUGGUCAGAAAGUAUUUAAUCAAAAGGCCGCACUCCAGAGGAAGCUAUGUCAAGUGCUCAAGUCGUACUUAUCUUGAACAACGCUAUAAUUUUUCUAAUUAGUAUAUUGAAUAUAAGCAAUGUGGCAAUGUGUUUUCACUGGUGAAAUUAGUGUUGUUCAAAGUGUGUGCAUUGGCUAAUAUAUUUUAGACAUUCUGCCUUUGCAAAAUGGGUUGUAAAAAUCUAGUAAGCAUCAUAAUCUUUAUCCUUAGGAAUGGCAUCCAAGGUUUGAUUUCUAAAAUGUCCCUUAUCUAGCUAUUGAUUCCAUGGAUUCUGGUUGCCUAAAUCCUGCCUCAAUAUUGCCGCGUUUGCCUUAAAUGAACUUUCAUACAUGUGGUAGUCAUAUAUGAUAGCCAGCCUCCAAGUUGGCCGUCAAUGACCUGACACCAAUGAUCCUUAGUGUUCAUCUCUUUUUAUAGUCUCUUCCCAUAUCAAAUAGAGCUGGUCUGUGUAACCAAUAAGAUAUUCUGGAAACGUGAAGAUUAAUUCGUCAGUAAUGUGAGUGAGCCAUCUUGGAAGCAGACCAUCCAGUCCCAGUUAAGCCUUAGGUAACAACAGCCCUGGCCAACAUCUUGAUUCAUGAGAGACCCUGAACCAAAACUAUCCAGCCAACCUACUCUCAAAUCCCUGACCUACAGAAACUCUGAUAUAAUAAAUAUUUAUUGUUGUUUCAAGUCACUAAAUUUUGGGGUAAAUUGUUGUGCAUCAUGGAUAACUAAUACAUGAAAGAGAGAAUUGGAUGUUAAUUGAGUUUAUUGAAGAGAUUAUAUGAAUUGUUGUGUGUAUGACUCCCUGUCAAUAACUGUUUAUUUUAAUUUUUUGAGAUGGAGUCUCACUCUGUCUCCCAGGCUGGAGUGCAGUGGCAUGAUCUUGGCUCACGGCAGCCUCCGCCUCGCAGGUUCAAGCGAUUCUCUGCCUCAUCCUCCUGAGUAGCUGGAAUUACAGGCGUGUGCCAGGACGUCCAGCUAAUUUUUGUGUUUUUUCAGAGACAGGGUUAUGUCAUGUUGGCCAGGCUGGUCUUGAACUCCUGGCCUCAAGUGAUCUGCCCACCUCAGCCUCCCAAAGUGCUGGGAUUAUAGGCAUGAGCCACCACAUUCAGCCAUAGUUUUUUAAUGUUUGUGUGUACAACAGAAUUUGGCCCAAGACUUGCUUUAUUGUAACUUAGUAGCCAACCCUUUCACUCAACAGUUGGUGACUACCUUUAUCUGUCAAAAAGAACAAAAUAGUUGUGUGUGACCAAACUUGCUUAGAUCGUUUUGCAAGAGAGCCAUAUUAAUUUUUCUAUGAUAAAAAAAUCAAGCCUAUGAUGGCUUGAUUCAAUCCACUUCUCUUUAUCACCCUGUUCACUCCAGUCCAGUCAUCUGUCACUUGGUCUAUUACAAUAACCUUUUAACUCAUUUAUGCAUAUUCAUUGGUCUUUUUCCAUCCCAUCAUCAACAUUAAAGUUAGAGUAGGCUUUUAAAAAUACAAGGCUAUUUAUGUAAUUUCCCCCAUUUAAAAUCUUUCAGUGCUCGGGCUGGUCAUGGUGGCUCACACCUGUAAUCCCAGCACUUUGGGAGGCUAAGGCAGGAGGAUCACCUGAGCCCAGGAAUUUGAGACCAGCCUGGGCAACACAGUGACUGAUCUCAUCUCUAAAAAAUAAAAGAUUUAGCUGAGGGUGGUGGCACAGCCCUAGCUACUAGGGAGGUUGAGGUGGAAGGAUUGCUUGAGCCCAGUAGUUCGAAGCUGCAGUGAGCCAUGAUCAUGCCACUACACUCCAACCUGGGUGACAGAGUGAGAUUCUAUCUCUAAAAAAUUAAGAGUAAAAAUAAUAAAAUAAUAUAAAAUCUUUCAGUGCUUGAAAAAAUAAGGCAAAGACAUAAGUUAACAUGACCUAUAAAACCUUUCCAUCCUUGUCUUGCACUCUUCUUUCUCUUACACUCUGUGACCCCACCUCACACUGGCCUUUUUUCAAUUACUAGUACUCUUUCUAUUCCCACUUACCACAGAGAAUUUGUACAUGGUGUUUCUUCUGCCUUGAAAUCUCUUCUGUUUCCUCUUUGUCUAGUUUAAGGCUGCCUAUCUUUCAUAUCUAGUGCAUAUGUGAGUCCCUCAGCAAAACUUUCCCUAAUCUCCCUGAUUGAUUCUCAUAGCAUCAUACAUCCCUCCUUUGUGUGCCAGGAACAUUGCAAUUUUACAUUUGUUUGUGUAACUAUUUGAUUAAUGUUCAUGUUGACUGCUAGUACAUUCUAUGAAAGUAGGUACCAUAUCUGAUAUCACUCACUCAUGUAUGCCUUGGGGUCUACCACGGUGCUGAAAAUGUGGUGCAUAUUUGAUAAAUAUUUGACGAAUAUAUGAAUAACUGAUUGACUAAUUUAAUGAGUUCAGGUGGCUACUAAUGUCGCUUCAGAGUGAGAGUGCCUAGUUUCAAAUUUUGGCAGUUCCUAACUGCAAUGUUAGGGACGAUUUUAUCUCAUUUUUCCUUCGAUUUGUUCUCUGUAAAUUGGGAAUAAUAAUUACCUUAUAGAGUUUUGAAAGGAUUAAAUGAGCUAGUAUACAUUAAAGACUUAAAGCAGUCCUUAACACAGCAAGUACUUUAUGCAUAUAUGAUAGCUACAAGUAUGAUUAUUAACAUCCUUAGUCAAUCUGUCAUACUAGUUCCUUAGGCCAUGGCCACCAGUUCCUUGGGUAAAUUCAUUCUUUACUUGUAGAUGCCAAAUUUCAACUGUCUGUGUAAGAAACAAGAAGCUAUGUCAAAGACAAAAAUUGAGGAUGGAAGCAUAUAAUUAUUAUUAGGUGGUGCAAUUUUGACUUAGGUAUAGGGAUGCUAAUGUUAGCCCCACAUCACUGAUAUUUAUUUGAUAUUUACUAUUUAUACAAAGAGACCAAAGGAGCAGAUUUUGUAUUUAAUGAGGGAGAGCCUCAAAGAGUUCUAUACCUACCUUUUAGUAAUGCAUCGCAAAGAGUUGAGUCCACCAUCUCUCCAUAAGUUUUUGCUUUGGCUAUUAAUUUUUGGGAUUCCCUUAUUAAUCUUUAUUUGAGCCUCAAACAAUGGUAAAAUAUUAACAUCAUAUAAAAUGCUAUUGCUCUCUUUGGGCUAUAGACCUUCCACACUAAGGCCCUGACUUUAAAAUGCUAAAGCAAUAGGUUUAUAACUUUUGAAUAUUAUAUGUUAGAAACUAUUGAGAUGAUAUUCAUUCUUAUUAAACAGUAGAAAUGUUCUUCAUGCUCAGUGCAAAGGCAGCAAUGGUUGGAUUUAUUUAGUUACUAAUGCUUUUUACAGAAGUCGUGAAUGUUAGCAUUUUAUUAUAUUCAGGGUCUCCACUUACAGACAUGUCCAUUGUAAGCUGCCAUUGAUUUAGGCAAUAGGUCAUAAACUGAAGAGUUGUUUUUGGUUAAGUGUUACCAGUGAUGCAUUCUGUUCUUUGUUUACUACCAACCACGCAAAACAAUACUUUGUACUUUGCAAAGAAACUGAGAUCACCCAGUCCUUGCAACUUAGGUCAUUUCAGUCUGGGUGAAAAAAAAAACUCUUUUCAACUCUUUGCCAGUUCCUCCUGGCUUUUUGAGAAGGAGAUACCUCUGAAAGAAAAUAGAUCAAAGUUACAUGAGACUAAGGGCAGAUCAUAUAGCUAUACUUUGUAGUCUGUUGAAAACAGAACUAGCUUUACUGGAAAAGAGAUCUACUGUUGUAGCUAUAAGGGGCAGAGGGAAGGUUAGAGGGAAGGUUACUAACCUAAAAAUCCAACCACCAUCCCUCUACUAGUUUGUCAGACUUUAAUAUUCCACCAUCAGAAAUUCAUUUUAAAACAUAAUUUAAAAGAUUUUAAAAGAUAAUUCCUUAAAGCAGUCACCUGUGGAAAAAAGUGAAUUCUCUAUCAAAUCCUUUUCCUGAAAGUGAAUUUCCUGAAAGCACUAAGACUGAGAGGUAACACUGGCUCCUGAAGUUCGGAUUUGACUGUAGGGGUGCUGUGGAGAGGAAAGGUUGGAAGAGCACAGACUGCUUUUGAAGAGAGGCUAGCAGGAAAUCUCUGGCCAUGGAAAACAGUGAUUUCAAUGUGUAAAGACUAUGAGGAAAAAGAGAAAAAGAAGUGGAUUUUUUUUUAAUUUGCUGUUCUGGACGUCUGUAAUAGAAGAAAGGAAACAUGUUACCUCUGCUGAGAUAAAGUGAAGGGACACUCAGACAAGAUUGGAGGGUCAUUAUCUUUUCAUACCUAGAAUGUGAGAACAACUUCACUUCCCUAAAUAUUCUGGUCUUUAGUUUUUGUCUGAUUAUUAUUAUGCCAAAUUCAUUCCUAUUUAUAAAGUGAUUAGUAUAUACAAAGCCCCUUGAAAGUAAUAAAAAAAAUUUUUAAGUUUUUGGUUUUGGGGGAGCUUUCCAUGUGUACUCUCUCCUAGUAAUUCUUUCAUCAAUAUACAAAUCAUUUACCUGUUAAACUAGACAUAAUAGAUUAAGGGUCUCUCCAUGAUAAGUGAGGAAACACAGGUCACUUUGUCUUGUAGUAAGGAACCAAGGAAAGUAAAGAUGGGAUGAAUAGACAAGGAAGGAGGCUGGUACAGAUUUAUAAGUUUAGUUUUUAUUAUGUCCUUGGUAUUUGCCAGUUGGACUAGAAAGGAAAAGCUAUAUAUGAAAAAAAAAAACUAUCACCUUAUGCUAAGCAAAGGAAUUUUGUGGCAGAAUGAAAAUUUGCUAAUGGGUAUAGGGGAUAUAGAAAUGGGAGGAACAGAGUGGUUGUACCCAUUUAAACCCCACCAACAAUGUAUAGAAGUAGUAGUGCUGAUUUUGAAAGUAUGUAAUGGAAUCUGAGUAUGGUUUUAAUUGUCAGUUCCCUGAUGAAUAAUGAUAUUGAAUUCUUUUUAAUUUGCUUGUUGUCUGUUUAAAUAUCUACAUUUAUGAAAGGCCUACUUGAAUCUUUUGUUCAUUUCUUAAAACAUUGAGUUGUCUUUCUCUUACUGAUUUGUAGUCAAGUUUUAUAUAUUUUGGGUACAAGUCAUAUGUCAAUAGUUGUUUUACAUUUUUCUUCUCCUAAUCUGUAGAUCAUUGCUCACUCUCUUAAUGAUAUGUUUCAAUGAACAGAAGUUUUUAAUUUUAAUGAAGUCUGUUUGAUCAAACUCUUCUUUCAUGGUCAGUGCUUUUUGUAUUUAAGAAAACAUUACCAGGGGGUAUUCCAAGAUGGCCAAAUAGGAACAGCUCUAGUCUGCAGCUCCCAGCGUGAUUGACGCAGAAGACAAGUGAUUUCUGCAUUUCUAACUGAGGUAUCUGGUUCAUCUCAUUGGGACUGGUUGGACAGUGGGUGCAGCCCACGGAGAGUGAGCUGAAGCAGGACAGGGCAUCACCUCACCUGGGAAGUGCAAGGGGUCGGGAAUUUCUCUUUCCUAGCCAAGGGAAGCCAUGACAGACUACCUGGAAAAACGGGACACUCUCCGCCCAAAUACUGCACUUUUCCCAAAGUCUUAGCAACCAGCAGACAAGGUGAUUCUCUCCUGUGCCUGGCUCAGUGGGUCCCAGGCCCAUGGAGUCUUGCUCACUGCUAGCGCAGCAGUCUGAGAUCGAUCUUUGAGGUAGCAGCCUGGCCGGGGGAGGGGUGCCUGCCAUUGCUGAGGCUUGAGUAGGUAAACAAAGUGGCUGGGAAGCUCGAACUGGUUGGAGCCCACCGCAGCAAGGCCUACUGCCUCUAGACUCCACUUCUGUGGGCAGGGCAUAGCUGAACAAAAGGCAGCAGACAACUUCUGUAGGCUUAAACAUCCCUGUCUGACAGCCCUGAAGAGAGCAGUGGUUCUUCCAGCACGGCGUUUGAGCUCUGAGAACCGACAGACUGCUUCCUCAAGUGGAUCCCUGACCCCUGUGUAGCCUAACUGGGAGACACCUCCCAGUAGGGGCUUACCUCAUAUAGGCGGCUGCCCUUCUGGGAUGAAGCUUCCAGAGGAAGGAUUAGGCAGCAAUAUUUGCUGUUCUGCAGUAUUUACUAUUCUGCAUCCUCCGCUGGUGAUAACCAGGCAAACAGGGUCUGGAGUGGAACUCCAACAAACUCCAGCAGACCUGCUGCUGAGGGACCUGACUGUUAGAACGAAAACUAACAAACAGAAAGGAAUAGCAUCAACAUCAACAAAAAGGUCAUCUACACCAAAACUCCAUCUGUAGGUCACCAACAUCAAAGACCAAAGGUAGAUAAAACCACAAAGAUGGGGAGAAACCAGAGCAGAAAAGCUGAAAAUUCUAAAAAUCAGAGCACGUCUUCUCCUUCAAAGGAUCACAGCUCCUCGCCACCAACAGAACAAAGCUGGACACAAUGAUUUUGACAAGUUGACAGAAGUAGGCUUCAGAAGGUUGAUAGUAACAUACUCUGAGCUAAAGGAGGAUGUUUGAAACCAUCACAAGGAAGCUAAAAACCUUGAAAAAACAUUAGAUGAAUGGCUAACUAGAAUAAACAGUGUAGAGAAGACCUUAAAUGACCUGAUGGAGCUGAAAACCAUGGCAUGAGAACUUCGUGAUACAUGCACAAGCUUCAAUAGCUGAUUUCAUCAAGUGGAAGAAAGGGUAUCAGUGAUUGAAGAUCAAAUUCAUGAAAAAAAGUGAGAAGAAAAGAUUAGAGAAAAAACAGUAAAAAGAAACAAACAAAGCCUCCAAGAAAUAUGGGACUAUGUGAAAAGACCAAAUCUACAUUUCAUUGGUGUACCUGAAAGUGACAGGGAGAAUGGAACAAAGUUGGAAAACCCUCUGCAGGAUAUUAUCCAGGAGAACUUCCCCAACCUUGCAAGGCAGGCCAACAUUCAAACUCAGGAAAUACAGAGAACACCACAAAGAUACUCCUUGAGAAGAGCAAUUCUGAGACACAUAAUUGUCAGAUUCACCAAGGUUGAAAUGAAGGAAAAAAUGUUAAGGGCAGCCAGAGAGAAAGGUUGAGUUACCCACAAAGGGAAGCCCAUCAGACUAACAGCAGAUCUCUUGGCAGAAACCCUACAAGCCAGAAGAGUGGGGCCAAUAUUCAACAUUCUUAAAGAAAAUAAUUUUCAACCCAGAUUUCAUAUCCAGCCAAACUAAGCUUCAUUAGUGAAGGAGAAAUAAAAUCCUUUACAGACAAGCAAAUGCUGAGAGAUUUUGUCACCACCAGGCCUGCCCUACAAGAGCUCGUGAAGGAAGGCACUAAACAUGGAAAGGAACAACCGGUACCAGCCACUGCAAAAACAUGCCAAUUUGUAAAGACCAUCGAUGCUAUGAAGAAACUGCAUCAAUUAAUGGGCAAAAUAACCAGUGAACAUCAUAAUGACAGGAUCAAAUUCACACAUAACAAUAUUAACCUUAAAUGUAAAUGGGCUAAAUGACCCAAUUAGAAGACACAGACUGGCAAAUUGGAUAAAGAGUCAAGACCCAUCAGUGUGCUGUAUUCAGGAGACCCAUCUCAUGUUGGAAAACACACAUAGGCUCAAAAUAAAGGGACAGAGGAAGAUCUACCAAGCAAAUGGAAAGAAAAAAAAAGCAGAGGUUGCAAUUCUAGUCUCUGAUAAAACAGACUUUCAACCAACAAAGAUCAAAAGUGACAAAGAAGGCCAUUACAUAAUGGUAAAGGGACAAUUCAACAAGAAGAGCUAACUAUCCUAAAUAUAUAGGCACCCAAUACAGGAGCACCCACCUUCAUAAAACAAGUCCUUAGAGACGUACAAAGAGACCUAGACUCUCAUACAAUAGUAAUGGGAGGCUUUAACAUCCCCCUGUCAAUAUUAGACAGAUCAAUGAGACAGAAGGUUAACAAGGAUAUCCAGGACUUGAACUCAGCUCUGCAACAAGUGGACCUAAUAGACAUCUACAGAACUCUCCAUCCCAAAUCAACAGAAUUUACAUUCUUCUCAGCACCACAUUGCACUUAUCCUAAAAUUGACCACAUAAUUGGAAGUAAAGCACUCCUCAACAAAUGUAAAAGAACAGAAAUCACAACAAACUGUCAGACGACAGUGCAAUCAAAUUAGAACUCCGGAUUAAGAAACACACUCAAAACCACACAACUACAUGGAAACUGAACAACUUGCUCCUGAAUGACUACUGGGUAAAUAACGAAAUGAAGGCAGAUAUAAAGAUGUACUUGGAAACCAAUGAGAACAAAGACACAACAUACCAGAAUCUCUGGGACACAUUUAAAGCAGUGUGUAGAGGGAAAUUUAUAGCACUAAAUGCCCACAAGAGAAAGCAGGAAAGAUCUAAAAUCGACACACUAACAUGUCAAUUAAAAAAACUAGAGAAGGAAGAGCAAACAAAUUCAAAAGCUAGCAGAAGGCAAGAAAUAACUAAAAUCAGAGCAGAACUGAAAGAGAUAGAGACACAAAAAACCCUUCAAAAAAUUAAUGAAUCCAGGAGCUGUUUUUUUGAAAAGAUCAACAAAAUUGAUAGAGACCACUAGCAAGACUGGUAAAGAAGAAAAGAGAGAAGAAUCAAAUAGAUGCAAUAAAAAAUGAUAAAGGGGAUAUCACCACUGAUCCCACAGAAAUGAAAACUACCAUCAGAGAAUACUAUAAACACCUCUACGAAAAUAAACUAGAAAACCUAGAAGAAAUGGAUAAAUUCCUGGACACAUACACUCUCCCAAGACUAAACCAGGAAGAAGUUCAAUCUCUGAAUAGACCAAUAACAGGCUCUGAAAUUGAGGCAACAAUUAAUAGCCUACCAACCAAAAGAAGUCCAGGACCAGACGGAUUCACAACUGAAUUCUACCCGAGGUACAAAGAGGAUCUGGUACCAUUACUUCUGCAGCUAUUCCAAUCAACAGUAAAAAAGGGAAUCCUCCCUAGCUCAUUUUAUGACACCAACAUCAUUCUAAUACCAAAGCCUGGCAGAGAAACAACAAAAAAAGAGAAUUUUUGACCAAUAUCCCUGAUGAACAUCGAUGCAAAAAUUCUCAAUAAAAUAUUGGCAAACUGAAUCCAGCAGCACAUCAAAAAGCUUAUCCAUCACGAUCAAGUCGGCUUCAUGACUGGGAUGCAAGACUGGUUCAACAUAUGCAAAUCAAUAAAUGUAAUCCAUCACAUACACAGAACCAAUGACAAAAACCACAUGAUUAUCUCAAUAGAUGCAGAAAAGGCCUUUGACAAAAUUCAACAGCCCGUCAUACUAAAAACUCUCAAUAAACUAGGUUUUGAUGGCAUGUAUCUCAAAAUAAUAAGAGCUAUUUGUGACAAACCCACAGCCAAUAUCAUACUGAAUGGGCAAAAACUGGAAGCAUUCCCUUUGAAAACCAGCACAAGACAAGGGUGUCCUCUCUUACCACUCCUGUUCAACGUAGUGUUGGAAGUUCUGGCCAGGGCAAUCAGGUAAAAUAAAUAAAGGGUAUUCAACUAGGAAAUAAGAAAGUCAAAUUGUCCCUGUUUGCAGAUGACAUGAUUGUGUAUUUUGAAAACCCCGUCGUCUCAGCCCAAAAUCUCCUUAAGCUAAUAAGCAACUUCAGCAAAAUCUCAGGAUACAAAAUCAAUGUGCAAAAAUCACAAGCAUUCCUGUACACCAUUAACAGACAAACAGAGCCAAAUCAUGAGUGAACUCCCAUUCACAAUUGCUACAAAGAGAAUAAAAUACCUAGGAAUCCAACUUACAAGGGAUGUGAAGGACCUCUUCAAGGAGAACUACAAACCACUCCCCAACGAAAUAAAAGAGGACACAAACAAAUAGAAGAAUAUUCCGUGCUCAUGGAUAGGAAGAAUCAAUAUCAUGAAAAUGGCCAAACUGCCCAAAGUAAUUUAUAGAUUCAAUGCCAUCCCCAUCAAGUUACCAAUGACUUUCUUCACAGAAUUGGAAAAAACUACUUUCAAGUUCGUAUGGAACCAAAAAAAGAGCCCAUGUUGCCAAGACAAUCCUAAAUCAAUGUUCAUCAAGGAUAUUGGUCUAAAAUUCUCUUUUUGUUGUGUCUCUCCCAGGCUUUGGUAUCAGGAUGAUGCUGGCCUCAUAAAAUGAAUUAGGGAGGAUUCCCUCUUUUUCUAUUGAUUGGAAUAGUUUCAGAAGGAAUGGUACCAGCUCCUCCUUGUACCUCUGGUAGAAUUCGACUGUGAAUCCAUCUGGUCCUGGACAUUUUUUCGUUGGUAAGCUAUUAAUUAUUGCCUCAAUUUCAGAGCCUGUUAUUGGUCUAUUCAGAGAUUCAACUUCUUCCUGGUUUAGUCUUGGGAGGGUAUAUAUGUUGAGGAAUUUAUCCAUUUCUUCUAGAUUUUCUAGUUUAUUUGCGUAGAGGAGUUUAUAGUAUUUUCUGAUGGUAGUUUGUAUUUCUGUGACAUCGUUGGUGAUAUCCCCUUUGUCAUUUUUUAUUGCGUCUAUUUGAUUCUUCUCUCUUUUCUUCCUUAUUAGUCUUGCUAGCAGUCUAUCAAUUUUGUUGAUCUUUUAAAAAAACCAGCUCCUGGAUUCAUUGAUUUUUCGAAGGGUUUUUUGUGUCUCUAUUUCCUUCAGUUCUGCUAUGAUCUUAGUUAUUUCUUGCCUUCUGCUAGCUUUUGAAUGUGUUUGCUCUUGCUUCUCUAGUUCUUUUAAUUGUGAUGUUAGGGUGUCAAUUUUAGAUCUUUCCUGCCUUCUCUUGUGGGCAUUUAGUGCUGUAAAUUUCCCUCUACACACUGCUUUGAAUGUGUCCCAGAGAUUCUGGUAUGUUGUGUCUUUGUUCUCACUGGUUUCAAAGAACAUCUUUAUUUCUGCCUUCAUUUCGUUAUUUACCCAGUAGUCAUUCAGGAGCAGGUUGUUCAGUUUCCAUGUAGUUGAGCAGUUUUGAGUGAGUUUCUUAAUUCUGAGUUCUAGUUUGAUUGCACUGUGGUCUGAGAGACAGUUUGUUAUAAUUUCUCUUCUUUUACAUUUGCUGAGGAGAGCUUUACUUCCAACUAUGUGGUCAAUUUUGGAAUAGGUGUGGUGUGGUGCAGAAAAGAAUGUAUAUUCUGUUGAUUUUGGGUAGGGAGUUCUGUAGAUGUCUAUUAGGUCCGCUUGGUGCAGAGCUGAGUUCAAUUCCUGGAUAUCCUUUUUAACUUUCUGUCUCGUUGAUCUGUCUAAUGUUGACAGUGGGGUGUUAAAGUCUACCAUUAUUAUUGUGUGGGAGUCUAAGUCUCUUUGUAGGUCACUGAGGACUUGCUUUAUGAAUCUGGGUGCUCCUGUAUUGGGUGCAUAUAUAUUUAGGAUAGUUAGCUCUUCUUGUUGAAUUGAUCCCUUUACCAUUAUGUAAUGGCCUUCUUUGUCUCUUUUGAUCUUUGUUGGUUUAAAGUCUCUUUUAUCAGAGACUAGGAUUGCAACUCCUGCCUUUUUUUGUUUUCCAUUUGCUUGGUAGAUCUUCCUCCAUCCCUUUAUUUUGAGCCUAUGUGUGUCUCUGCACGUGAGAUGGGUUUCCUGAAUACAGCAAACUGAUGGGUCUUGACUCUUUAUCCAAUUUGCCAGUCUGUGUCUUUUAAUUGGAGCAGUUAGCCCAUUUACAUUUAAGGUUAAUAUUGUUAUGUGUGAAUUUGAUCCUGUCAUUAUGAUGUUAGCUGGUUAUUUUGCUCGUUAGUUGUUGCAGUUUCUUCCUAGCCUUGAUGGUCUUUACAAUUUGGUGUGUUUCUUCAGUGGCUGGUACCGGUUGUUCCUUUCCACAUUUAGUGCUUCCUUCAGGAGCUCUUGUAGGGCAGGCCUGGUGGUGACAAAAUCUCUCAGCAUUUGCUUGUCUGUAAAGGAUUUUAUUUCUCCUUCACUAAUGAAGCUUAGUUUGGCUGGAUUUGAGAUUCUGGGUCAAAAAUUCAUUUCUUUAAGAAUGUUGAAUAUUGGCCCCCACUCUCUUCUGGCUUGUAGAGUUUCUGCCGAGAGAUCAGCUGUUAGUCUGAUGGGCUUCCCUUUGUGGGUAACCCGAGCUUUCUCUCUGGCUGCCCUUAACAUUUUUUCCUUCAUUUCAACUUUGUUGAAUCUGACAAUUAUGUGUCUUGGGGUUGCUCUUCUCGAGGAGUAUCUUUGUGGCGUUCUCUGUAUUUCCUGAAUUUGAAUGUUGGCCUGCCUUGCUAGAUUGGGGAAGUUCUCCCGAAUAAUAUCCUGCAGAGGGUUUUCCAACUUGGUUCCAUUCUCCCCAUCACUUUCAGGUACACCAAUCAGACGUAGAUGUGGUCUUUUCACAUAGUCCCAUAUUUCUUGGAGGCUUUGUUCAUUUCUUUUUAUUGUUUUUUCUCUAAACUUCUCUUCUUGCUUCAUUUCAUUCAUUUCGUCUUCCUUCACUGAUACUCUUUCUUCCAGUUGAUUGCAUCGGCUACUGAGGCUUAUGCAUUCGUCACGUAGUUCUCCUGGCGUGGUUUUCAGGUCCAUCAGGUCCUUUAAGGACUUGUCUGCAUUGAUUAUUCUAGUUAUCCAUUCAUCUAAUUUUUUUUCAAGGUUUUUAACUUCUUUGCCAUUGGUUUGAACUUCCUCCUUUAGCUUGGAGUAGUUUGAUCUUCUGAAGCCUUCUUCUCUCAAAUCGUCAAAGUCAUUCUCCAUCCAGCUUUGUUCCGUUGCUGGUGAGGAGCUGCAUUCCUUUGGAGGAGGAGAGGCACUCUGAUUUUUAGAGUUUCUGGUAUUUCUGCUCUGUUUUUUCCCCAUCUUUGUGGUUUUAUCUACCUUUGGUCUUUGAUGAUGGUGACGUACAGAUGGGUUUUUGGUGUGGAUGUCCUUUCUGUUUGUUAGUUUUCCUUCUAACAGUUAGGACCCUCAGCUGCAGGUUUGUUGGAGUUUUCUGGAGGUCCACUCCAGACCCUGUUUGCCUGGGUAUCAGCAGCGGUGGCUGCAGAUCAGCGGAUAUUAGUGAACCGCAAAUGCUGCUGCCUGAUCGUUCCUCUGGAAGUUUUGUCUCAGAGGAGUACCUGGGUGUGUGAGGUGUCAGUCCGCCCCUACUGGGGGGUGCCUCCCAAUUAGGCUACUCGGGGGUCAGGUACCCACUUGAGGAGACAGUCUGCCCGUUCUCAGAUCUCAAGCUGCGUGCAGGGAGAACCACUACUCUCUUCAAAGCUGUCAGACAGGGACAUUUAAGUCUGCAGAGGUUACUGCCGCCUUCUGUUUGUCUGUGCCCUGCCCCCAGAGGUGAAGCCUACAGAGGCAGGCAGGCCUCCUUGAGCUGUGGUGGGCUCCACCCAGUUCGAGCUUCCCGGCCGCUUUGUUUACCUACUCAAGCCUUGGCAAUGGUGGGCGCCCCUCCCCCAGGCUCACUGCCGCCUUGCAGUUUGAUCUCAGACUGCUGUGCUAGCAAUGAGAGAGGCUCCAGGGGCAUAGGACCCUCCGAGCCCGGUGUGUGAUAUAAUCUGGUGUGCCGUUUGUUAAGCCUGUUGGAAAAGCGCAGUAUUAGGGUGGGAGUGACCCAAUUUUCCAGGUGCCAUCUGUCACCCCUUUGUUUGACUAGGAAAGAGAAUUCCCUGACCCAUUGCACUUCCCGGGUGAGGCAAUGCCUCACCCUGCUUCAGCUCAUGCAUGGUGCACUGCACCCACUGUCCUGCACCCACUGUCCAGCACUCCCUAGUGAGAUGAACCCUGUACCUCAGUUGGAAAUGCCAAAAUCACCCGUCUUCUGCAUUGCUCACACUGGGAGUUGUAGACUGGAGCUGUUCCUAUUCGGCCAUCUUGGCUCCACCCUAUAGCUGGAUUUUUAAAGCCCAAUUAUAUAUGGGCUUUAUUUCAUUAGAAGGAUUUAAUUUAUUUAUAUUGAUUGUGAUUUUAUUUAUUCCUGACAUUUUAUACAAUUUACAACUUUUUUCUUUUUUGCCAUUUGUGAAAUUAAGUUGCUUUCUUCUUUAUUUCAGUAGCAUAGAAAUUAUACCUCUGAUUUUUCUUCUGCUCACAAAUAUUUCAAUUUUAACCACCAUUUUACAUGUAUUAUUCUUCAACUCCUAUAAAUAAGCAGCAUCUGUGUCUUGCCCUUGAUCAAUUUCACUCCCAUUGGUCCUCUUUCUCCUACUACUGCCAUAUUGUAUCAUUCCAGGUGAUAAUAAUCUGGAAUUUACUUUAUUUAUUUUAUUUCCAGUUCAAAUCAUUGUUUAGAAUUAGUUGUAGGUAUUUCUGAUUUUUUUUUUUUUUUUCCACAUAACCUCUGCGGCUACUGCCCUAGAACAAAUCAUCACCAUCUCUGCUUGGCCCUUCCCUGUAACCUCUGACUGGCUUGCCUACUUCAGUUCUUUCCUUCUGUACCCCCUCCCUCAUGUUAUUUGCCACAUAAAAGCAAGAGUUAUCCUUUUUUAAAAAAAUGCAAAUUGUGGUAGCACACCCCUGUAACCCCAGCUACUCUGGAGGCUGAAGCAAGAGCAUUGUUUGAACUCAACAGUUGGAGGCUGUAGUGUACUAUGAUCACCCCUGUAGAUAAUCCACUGCACUCUAGCCUGGGCAACACAUCGAGACCCUGUCUCUUAUAACAAAAAAAAAAAAACCUACAAGUCCAAUUGUGCCUUAAAACUCUCUUUUGGCAUGUCAUCGCAUUUAGAACAAAAUCCUGCGUUCCUAAGUCCUUACCCUGCCUUCCUAGAAGGCUUUAAUGAUCUGUCCCCUCUGCCUUUGGUGUUCACUCUGCUUUGGCCACUGGGACCUUCUCAGUCCUCAAUUCACCAAACACACUCCUGGAUUAGGGUCUUUAUACUUACUGUUCACUCUGCCUGAAAUGUUCUUCCCUCAGAUGAGCACUUGGCAUGCUCACAUACUUCUUUCAGGUCUUUGUUCAAAUGUCACCUCCUCAGAGAGGCUUUUGCUGACAAACCUAUUCAAAAUUGCAUCCUCUGGCCCCACUUUACACUCUAAUUCCUUACACUGCUUUAUUUUAUUCUUCAUAGUACUUAUCAUCAUUAUCAAGCAUGUAUCACUUAUUGUUUAUUUGCUUGCUUCUUGUCUGUUUUCCUUACAAGAUUGAAAUCUUCAUGAAGGUAGGGACUCUGUUUUGUUCACUAUGUUAUCCUUAGUGCUAAAAACAGUGCCUGGCACCUAGUAGGCACUUUUUACUUAAUAUCUAAAUCAAUACAUAUAUGAAUGAGUGAAUGAAUGAAUGAAUGAGUGAAUGAAAAACUCCAAGUCUACUCUCAACUUUGCAGGAAUUCUUUUUCGAGUAUCAGUCUGAUCCUGUCUGGCUUCUAUCUUUUGUGCUUUUAUAGAUUCCUUAAAAUUCUAGUCUGCCAAUAGUACCUAUUCUGAUUUAAGUAAAGUUAUGAGAUUCAUUUUGUUUUUAAUUUUUUCUGAGGAAUAUUUUUUUCUGAAGAGAUAAGCAGAUUGAUGAGCUCAUCUUGAUCUUUGUCAGUAUAUUUAAAUCAUUGGUUAGGAUAAUUUUUAACAUGUUAAACUUUAGGGCUCAGAGACUCUUUAACUUCCUCAUGUUACAGAUUUUAAAAUGAGACUCAGAGAAGUGAUUCAGUUUACCCAAAUCCCCCUACAAAACACAGCUCUAAAUAAAUACUAAUUCUGUGCCUCUGCAAAAUAUUGUGCAGGCUCACUUGCGAGGCAUGCAGGAAACUCAACAACUGUCAGAAAGAAAGCUCGGAAAUGGCAGAAGGAUCUCAGAAAUAAUCUUAGCUGUAAGGACUGGCCUCAAAGACGGUGGCACCAUUUGAAUCAUAGGGCUUAGCAAACUCAAGGUGAUGUCUUGCCUCAAGAGACUUCAAUCAGUUGAUAGGUGAAUUGCAGCAAUGGAAAUCUCCAGUGUGGUCAUUUUUCAUUAGGACAGGGGGAAGAAUCUUGGUUCUGGGAAAUCUACCACGUGAUGAGGAAUUAGAGAUUCAAGAGACAAGAUUUGGGCCCUGAAUGAGGGGUUGGCAAGGGUUACACAGUUCAGUCAUGAUCGAAUCAGGAGCUUAUCUUAACCCAGAGAUUCCUUUCUAGUGAUAAUCGCUCUUUCAACCAAUAAAAAUAUGUUUAAAUCUAUCUAUGACCUGGAAGCCCUCCCAUCCCACCCCUUGCUACCUCCAGUUGUCCUGCUCUUCCAUAUUGAACCAAUGUAAAUCUUACAUGUAUUAAUUAAUGUAUUAUGUAUCCCUAAAUAUAUAUAAAAGCAAGCUGUGGCCAGGCGUAGUGGGUCACACCCUGUAAUCCCAGCACUUUAGGAGGCUGAGGCAGGUGGAUCACCUGAGGUCAGGAAUUUGAGACCAGCCUGGCCAACACAGUGAAACCCCGUCUCUACUAAAAACACAAAAAUUAGCUGGGCGUGGUUGUGCACACCUAUAAACCCAGCUACUCAGGAGGCUGAGGCAGGAGAAUCACUUGAACCUGGGAAGCGAAGGCUGCAGUGAGCUGAGAUCGCGCCACUGCACUCCAGCCUGGGAGACAGAGCAAGAUUCCACCUCAAAGAAAAAAAAGAAAAGCAUGCUGUAACCUUACCACCUUGGGCACAUGUCACCAGGAUCUCCUGAGGCUACAUUCUUAACCAUGGCAAAAUAAACUUUCUAAAUUGACUGAGACCUGUCUCAGAUAUUUUGGGUUCAGGAGUAGUAUAGAACACUAGAAGUUAUUCCUCCUAUCUAACUGUAAUUUUGUAUCCUUUAAUAAAUCUCUCCCUAUCUCCUCCUUCCCAUCUUUCCCAGCCUCUAACAGCCCCCGUUCUAUUAGGUUGGUGCAAAACCUGUUUUAUUAGGUUUGCACCAACCCAAAAUCAACUAUUUUACACUUCCACAAAUGAAUGAGAGCAUGCGAUGUUUAUUUAAUUUUCUGUUACUGGCUUAUUUCAUGUAACAUAAUGUCCUUUCGUUCAUCCAUAUUGCCGCAAAUAACAGUAUUUCAUUCUUUUUUUAUGGUAGAAUAGUAUUCUAUUGUGUUUAUAUAACAUAUUUUCUUUAUGCAUUCACCUGUUGUUGGACACCUAGGUUGAUUUUAUGUUUUGGUUAUUGCAAAUAGUGUUGCAAUAAACAUGAGGGUGCAGAUGUCUCUUUGAUAUACCAAUUCCCUUUCCUUUGGGUAGGUGCCCAGUAGUGGGAAUGCUAGAUCAAAUGGCAGUUCUAUUUGGAGUGUUUUUAGGAAUCUACAUACCGUUCCCAUAGUAGCUGUACUAGUUUACAUUCCCAUAAGCAGUGUAUAAGAGUUUCCUUUUCUCCACAUCUUCAUCAGCAUUUGCUAUUUUUCACCUUUUUGAUAAUCACCAUCCUUACUGGGAUGAGAUAAUACCUCAUUGUCGUUUUGAUUUGCAUUUCCCUAGUGAUUAAUGAUGUUGAGGUUUUUUUCAUACAUUUAUUGGAGAUUUGUAUGUCUUCUUUUGAAAAAUGUUUGUUCAUAGCUUGUAGGCCUUUUGCCUGAGAUCAAGUGAGAAACGUCUGUUCAGAUCACCUACCCAUUUUACAAUGAGAUUGCUUCCUACGGUUGAGAUAUUUGAGUUCAUUGUAUAUCCUGGAUAUUAAUCCCCUGUCAGAUGAAUAGUUUGCAAAUAUUUUCUCUCAUUCUGUAGGUUAUCUUUUCAAUCUGUUGAUUGCUUCCUUGGCUGUGCAGAAGCUCUUUGGUUUGAUAUAACCCCAUUUGUUUAUUUUUGCUUUCAUGGCCUAUGUUUUUGAGGUCUUAUUCACAAAAUCUUUUCCCACACCAACGUCCUAAAGUGUUUCCUUUUUUUUUUUCUAGUAGUUUAUAGUUUUGGAUCUUACAUUUAGGUCUUGGGUCCAUUUUGAAUUGAUUUUUUUAAUAGAGUGAGAGGUGGGGGUUUAGUUUCAUUCUUCUGCAUAUGGACAUCCAGUUUCCCCAGCACCAUUUAUUAUAGAGACUAUCCUUUCCCUAAUGUAUGUUCUUGGUGUCUUUGUCAAAAAUCAAUUGGCUGUAAAUGUGAGGAUUAAUAUCUGGGUUCUCUAUUCUGUUACAUUGGUCUAUGUGUCUGUUUUUAUGCCAGUACCAUGCUGUUUUGCUACUACAGCUUUGUAGUAUAUUUUUAUUCUUUUUGCUCAGGAUUGCUUUGGCUCUUCAGGGUCUUUUGUGGUUCCAUACAAAUUUUAAGGCUUAUUUGUUCAGCCAGGCCUAGCGGCUCACACCUGUAAUCAAUCCCAGCACUUUAGGAGGCCAGCGUGGGAGGAUCAGUUGAGCCCUGGAAUUCAAUACCAGCUUGAGCAACAUAGUGAGACCCUGUCUCUACAAAAAGAAGAAGAAGGAGGAGGAGGAGGAAUAGAAGGAGAAGAAGGAAGAAAGAAAAAAAAGAAAAAGAAUUUCUUCUAAUCCUAUGAAGAACAUCAUUGGCAUUUUGAUAUUAAAUCCAUAGAUCACUUGGGGUAGUAAUAAGCAGCAUGUUAAGUGUGUACCUUUUUGUUUGUUUGUUUGUUUGUUUUUCUGAGACGGGGUCUCACUUUGUCACCCAGGCUGGAGUGCAGCAGCAUGAUCUGAGCUCACUGCAGUCUUGACCUCCUGGGUUCAAACGUCCUCCAACCUCAGCCUCCUGAGUAGCUGGGACUAUAGGCACACAUCACCACACCUGGCUAAUGUUUUUCUUUUUUUUUCUUUUUUUUUUUUUUUCCUGUGAUGGAGUCUGUCUCACUUUGUUGCCUAAGCUGGAGUGCAAUGGCAUGACCUCAGCUCACUGCAAACUCCACCUCCUGGGCUCAAGCCAUCCUCCCUCCUCAGCCUCCCAAGUAGCUAGAACUACAGGCAUGCACCACCAUGCCUGGCCAAUUUUUGUAUUUUUAGUAGAGAUGGGGUUUCACCAUGUUGCCCAGGCUGGUCUCAACUGGGCUCAAGUGAUCCUCGGCCUCCCAAAGUGCUGGGAUUAUAGACACAAGCCACUGCACCUGGCAUGAUUUUUUUUUUUAAACAAGAGAAAAUUAUCUUUAAAAUUAACAGUUAAGGUGAAGUUUAAAAGAGUAUUUGUCAUCCUAAUAAUGCUUCUUGGUGUUUUUCUUCAAUAGGAGCCUUUCUUGUCCUCUCAUUUUUCACAUUAGAUGAGAUCUAAACACACAUCAAAACUGGGAUGCAGUAAUAGGUGAGGAAAAACCAAUGUCUUUCACUGUACCCAGGCAUUAAAUUUGAUCCCUAGCAUGCCUGGAAAGGGACAGUUUUCCUACUGACUUCCUGAUAUGUACCUAAACUGCAUGGGAUCUCAUCCUUUUUUGUAAAGAGCAAUAAAAUAUUUCAUUUAAUACAAGAACACCUUUCAUCCAGCCUCAUUCAAUUUUCUAGGUUAAUUUUUGCUUUCCAUUCUUCCAGGAUGCUUAAAAUAAGAAGAGUAAAUUCCAAAACCAGCUCUGUUCAUACUAGAGCAAGGCUGAGCAAAGCAUUGCUGACUACGUGCACAGUGUCAGGAGCCAAGCAAACUCUUCAGCCCUCAUUUUCUGGGGACCAAAAGCAGCUUCUGUGUUCUUGCCCUAGGGCUCACCCUUAGUGCCUUCUAGGUAAGACUGCCUUGGCUUCCCUCUGCUAAUCAGGGAAAAGGUGAUUGGAUAGAGUCAUGUUUCACCUGAAGUAUUUUGGCCCCUUAUCUGAACCAGUCAUUACAUCUUAAGGCAGUUGUAACUAGGCUGCUAUAAUGAUCUGACAAAAGACCUAUUCCUCCAACAUUACCAGUCAUUAACUUUCCAAGACAAGAUGUGACAUGCCACAGCCCUCAGAUAGUUCAUCCAGAAGGAGUCUCUUCUUGACAAAUAUAAUCCCUCUUCACCUUUGUUCAUGACAAUUUUAUUUCUUCCACGGUGUCAAACUACCAAUUUUUCCAAGUCAGCAUUCCCUAGUUAGACCAAGGGACUUUUUCCACUUCAAAGGGAGGUGCUGCUAUCUUUUCACUUUUGAUUGUUCCUUACUUUAAUCGUCUUUCCUAAAAUAGUAGUUUUAAGUGGAUAUAUAUUUAAAGUAGCAAAGCCUGAUGCCUUAUUUUUGCUGCAAAUUUUGCAGUUCUAUGUAUAAAAACUUGCUUUAAUCAUAUGUCACUACGUCAUGUUCAGUAUGCACAAAUAAAAACUUAUUCUCCAGAUAUGAUGUCAGAAUGAAUAAAAACUAACAAUUGGGAUAUUUGCCUAAAAGUAAAAAAGAAGCAGGACACUUGGUGUAUACUCUUUAGUUCUUAACUUUAUUUGAGUAACUUUGCCUACCCUGAAAAUUAUAAAAUAAUGUCUUUUGUAAAAAUAGGACCAUUGCUUCAAAGUAUCUCUCUUUUCCCCUUCAGUGGCUAAAUCCAUACAAAGCUAUAAAGUUGAUAAUCAAAAUUGAAAACAAGUAGUUCUCUCUAAAGUUAGAACUGCAGUUCCCUUGGAGGGUCUCAUUAGAUAGAAUCCAGGUGCAACUCUCUGCAACAUAGUGUUAGAUUCUGAACAGAAGUAAAAUAGAGCAUGAUUCCUUGACUUAAAAUGUAACUAAGCAAAGAACACAAGAGUACAGAGGAAACUAAGCUGGUAGAGUCAGGGGAAAGAUAAGUGACAGAGAGCCUGAUGGCCUUGCAGUAGUCUGAGAUGGCAACUUGAAGAAUGGUCAAGGAAAGGCAUUCAAAGUCUAGUUCCAGAACUGACUGAAUGGAAUCAAGAAAAGUGGACUGGGCAAUUGCCAGAUGCUGUCUGAAGGCAUAAGGGUAUGGACUCUUGUAUUGGACCUGGAUUCUCUCCAGAUAACCUUCUCUAGAUUAUAUAAUCUCUGGAUUUUAGAAUGGCAAAGUUCAACGAGUUUAUCCAGGGUUAGUUUAAGAUGAAAAAUAAAAGAAAAGAGAAAAAACUAAGAAACGUAGAAAGGGUAGUAACCUCAACAUCUUGUUUAAUAAAGAAGGAACUCUUAUCUCUCUUGAAGUCAUUCACAUUGGGUCUACCGUAGGAUUUCUCUGCAUAGUAAUGAGAGCUGAAUGAACGAACUCUGAAGAAUUAAAAGAGAUCAAGUGCUAAGAUCUCAGUGAUGGGCGGUACCUAAAGAGGUGAGGCUAAGAGGAGAAAGAAAAUCCCCUGGGGGAGAUAGAGAGUAAGGGUCAAUGAAUAUAGGGGAGUAAACUCAUAAAUAGCAUUUAAAAUUUAUUAUUAGCCUGUAGGUAACUUUUAAUUCUUCAGUUACAGAGAAAACCCCCAUUUUGAGGUUACAAGGAUUUUCUUUUCUUAAAAGUGUUAUUAGAUGUGUCCUACUCCCCCUGUAUAUAUAAUUUUUAAAAAUAAUAGUCUGGAUUAUGAGCUGAAAAGUCUAGUUAUUACCAUGUAACUGUUUUAUGCAAUGUGAUAUAAUUAUUUACUAAUUGUUCCAUAUUCUCUCAUUUUUGUUUUUUCUCUCUUAAUUUGAUCUUCAGUACCUCCAAGGUUGUACCAUAUGCAAUGCUUACAGGCCUCAACUCUGAAGGCUAUUAGAGCUGAGUAUAAUUCUUAGCCUCUCUUAUCUGUGUGGCCUUGAUCUAAUUACUAAUCUAAGUUUCAGUUUCCUUGUGUAUAAAAUGGGAAUAAUAAGAAUAUCUUUCUCAUAGGGUUGUGCCAAGGAAUAAAUAAUGUAAAAUGAAUAAAAUAAUGUAACAUAAGUAAAAUAUUUCCAGUUUGUGAUAAACAGCACAGCAUUUAAGUUUGCUGAUAAAGGCUUGUCUACCUUAUUUUCUCCUAUCGUAUGUGCACCUUUUGUUUUUGUUUGUUUUUUUGAGACAGGGUCUCGCUCUGUCACCCAGGCUGGAGUGCAGUGGCACAUUCUUGGCUCACUGCAACCUCCGCCACCCUGGCUCAAGCCAUCCUUCCACCUCAGCUUCACAAGUAGCUGGGACCACAGGUGCCCACCACCACACCCAGCUAAUUUUUUGUAUUUUUGGUAGAGAUGGAGUUUCACCGUGUUGCCCAGGCUGGUCUUGAACUCCUGAGCUCAAACGAUCAACCCACCUCAGCCUCCCAAAGCUCUGGGAUUAUAGGCAUUACCACUGCACCCAGCCUAUAUGUGCCUUUAACUCCAUUGUAGAAUGCAUAUUGUGUAGAGUGUAUUCUAUUUUUUAUUAUCACAUCAUGUGAAAAGUUCAGGACUAAUUUUAACAAAAUUUGACGUUAUGUUUAUUAUGGUCUGACUGAAACUAAAGAUUCCAAAAUGCAAAUAAUCCCUCAGGGCAGCUGAAACUAAAGCACAACAUGUAUGACUACUCUUAGAAGAGGCGUGCCAUAAGCAACAAGACACAAUGGAAGGGAAUAAACAAGCAGUGGUUUCUGAGGGUCAGGGACUCCAAGUGGCAGUUAAUUUGAAUUGACUGCUUCCCACUUGGGUAACUCUAGGUAUAUACUCCAGAGGAAUUAGUAGCAGGAAAUUCAUUCUUUUUUAAUAUAAAUUUCUUUUGAUAACAAUGUAUUCGUUAUGAGGACAUGAGCAUGGGAAAGAAAAGCUAAGAUGUUAAACAGAUGAAAAUAUUUACAUAACUUCAAAUAGUUGCAAAUACAAAGCCAAGGAGAAGUAGAUUGAAUUACAUUUUCUAAAGAAACUGUCGGACCCAGCCACUGAGCUUUCUCAUCAUUCUCCAUGGUCCCCAAACCUCUGCACCCUCCUGUUCCAUCCUCUCCCCCAACCUGGAUAAGCAAUGUAAAAGCAAUUUCAGUGUUUAAGUUGAACUGUGGUUAGUGUAGCUGAGUCACAGAAUAAACUGGAAAGAGCCAUUCAAGGAAAAAGAAAAACACGUACUAUAAUUGAAGACAAACAUCACUCAGUCUAUAACGCAUUUUCAGGAAUUCAUGUAUGUGUUUUUAUAUAUAAGAUAUAUAAAUAUAAUAUGCAUAAAUAUAGUCACUGGGCAAUCAGCAGAAAGUAUUUAAGGUAACUUAUAUGCAUUGCCAAAAUCUGCGAUAUAUCAUAUUUUAUUUAGUGCAUCCAAAUACCCCAAUUAUUACUAAAUGGAAGCAAGCUGAUAAGCUGCAAGCUAUCUCUAGAAAAUUGGGCAUGAGACUAUGUUAGAAAUCUUCCAGGAAUAGAAGUAAACAGAAAACAACUAAGAUUAGUUGCUUGCAUAUUUUUAGUUAAUAUUAAAUUAAAAAUGUACCGGCUGGGCACGGUGGCUCACGCCUGUAAUCCCAGCACUUUGGGAGGCCGAGGCGGGCGGAUCACGAGGUCAGGAGAUCGAGACCAUCUUGGCUAACACGGUGAAACCCCGUCUCUACUAAAAAUACA